rnacentral:lncRNA from 1 species
CGGUUCUCCUCCCUUACUCCUUCUCCUCUUAGGCCCACCAUUUCUCCAUUUCCCUUUGACCCAUUAUCAAGUUUGGAUCUAAUUUUGGCCUUACCGGCGGCGGAAUGGGAUCUUUCCCGAAACUCUCCUUCUUCGAUUUAUUUAGCAAAGUCUAGGGGCUUUAGAUCGUGGUUUUUCACUAUUCUGAUGAGUAGGGGGUUUGACAUAGGUGGGUUUUGGUUUUGGAGGUAUGAUCUGAAGUGGGGCUUCGCUUAGGGCUUGGCUUUGGAGUCUCGGAUCUGGAUGAUUUGCUGGGUUUGGGGUUCUCGGGAGGGGAUUUUGUUCUGCCGGUGGGUGUUUUACCGGUGGUUCUGCUUGCUCAGAUAGUUUUUUCUUUUAUCCGUGUAUUUUCCAAUCGGAUUGUAUGCUUUCACUAAUUAUCGUUUAUUCUUCUGAUUUGGAUGUUUAUUAAUGGAUUUUGGGUUUCUGAUUUAGAUACCAGACUCUGGAUCUUACCAGAUUUGGCUUCUGGUUUCUUAGAUGGCUGUUAUCCGUUUGAAAUCCGUUUUGAAUGACUAUGGUUAUUGUCUAUCUCUUACUGUUCAGUUACGGAUGUUCGUUGAGGGAACUGAUUUGGUCCAUCAGCAGAUUCCUCUCCCGGAAUAUUGAUUGUCCCGAUCUGGAUGUCCCUAUGUUCUCUUUCAAUCUUUCCUAUUAUAAAAAUUUGGUUGGAUUGAUUAUGUUACCCACUUGAUUUGUUGUUCCUGUUGCCGGAUUAUCUCGUCGGUUUUGUAGGUGGAGCCCACGUGGGGGCCCACGUAUUUUUAAAAUUUAAUGGUGUUGCAUCCGCUAGUACUUCUAGCGGACCAAGAAUUAAUGGGGGUAUAAUGGGCCUAAAUAUAUUUUUACCACGUCCGCUAGAAGUACUAGCGGACGGCGUGGUCUCCUUUUAAAUAUAUAUAUAUAUAUAUAUAUAUAUAAACACACACUAUCUUUUUUCGUUAUAACAGGUACAUGGAAGUAAAUAUCAAAAAAGGAAACUUGAAGCAAAUAUCAAUCUUAUAAAGAGAUAUUUUCAUAGAGAGUUAUCAAAGUUUAUUUUUCCACCAAGUCUUGUUUUAUUAAUUAAUUCUUUGUUGGUUGGAAAAUAAGAAUUCUUUGUAAUCAUAUAUUUCCUAUAAAUCUGAGUUCUAGUCUUGUUUCGCUUGACUGAUCUAGUAGUGAGAAUAGGGUUUGUUCAAAGAGAGCUUUCAAGGUUGCAGAGGUGCAAAGGUCUCAGUGGUGAGAAAUGUUGCAGAGGUACAAAAGAGUAGUGGUGUCCAUCAGUGUGAAGCUACUUUAAAGAGGGAGUUCUUUUUGUUUGUACUUCAUUGUGUAUUAAAGUUUAAUAAAAAUUGGUAUUGGACAUGUAUUAGGCUACUAGACUAGAGGAUAAGGGUUGAACCACGUAAAAAUCUUGGUGUGACUUACUAUUUUUUUGUUCCUGUUUUAUGAUUUAAUAUUCUGCAGUUUUGGUUUAAAAUCGUGGCCAAAAUUUAUACUAAAAUAGACAGGUAUUAGUUGUCCGUUUAUAACAGACGAAUAACAUAAUUAAUACGGACAGGGUUAAACCGUUCGAUUAUAAUGCAAUAGUAAACUUUAAAAAUUGACCACUAUAGAUCACUUUUGGGUAUUUACACCUAUUCACCCCCCUCUAAGUGUGCUUAAUUAAAAAAUUUAUUUGGUAUCAAAGCAAGGCUCUAGUAAUAUUGAUCUUUGCAGGUCGUAGGGAAAGAUCCUAUGGCACACCUUUAUUUUCAAGAAGGUCAAUCUACAAGUCGACCACCUCUGUUGCUCGAAAGUGAGAACUUCAACUUUUGAAAAUUCAGAAUGAAAAUUUAUCUCAAAAGAGACCCAUGGCAAUGGUGUGUAGUUGAAAAUGAACCUGUUAUUUCUAGACAUGAUGAUGGUAGACUCAAGACUCAUGGACAUGGAUGAAAAUGAAAGCUACAUGUUUUCUUACAACACAAGAGCCAUGAACACCUUACUAAGCUGAACGGUCAAAGCUAAAAUUGAUAAAGUAUCAUCAUGAAACACAACAAAUGAAAUGUGGGAUACUAUAAUGACAAGACACAAAGGUACCUCCAAAGUAAAAGAGGUGAAGUUAAGUAUGCUAAUGCAAGAAUAUGAGAUAUUCAAGUUAGAAAAGGAUGAAACAAUUAAUGAAGCUCAAGUGAGAUUUCUCACUCUAAUGAACUCUCUAAGUAUGCUGGGACGAAAAAUUGAUCGAAGGGAAAUAAACAGAAAGAUACUUAGAGUCAUGCCUAAACGAUUCGCACCAAAGGUUACAACUCUUCAAGAUUUAUCAACAAUUAGUACAAUGAAAACUCUCACUUUAUUUGGAGAGCUUGAAGAAUUUGAAAAUCAGUUAAGAAGGUAUGAUGAAGAAGAUGAAGCACCAAUAAAGAAGACAUUGACACUUCAAGUCGAGAGCAACAACGAAAGUGAUCACGAAUAUUUUGAUGAAGAAAUUGAAAUGCUCUCAAGAAAACUCGAUAGACUACUUCAAAGGAAAAAUCAAAAAGGUAGCUCAACUCUAGUGAGUAAGUCCAAAACGGAACAAGAAGAAGAAAAUGUCCAACUCCGUUUCAUGGGACUAGAAAAUGAUGAUCAAGUUGAGGUAACACAUUUUCAUAAAACUUUUGAAAUAUCUAUGCCUGAUUAUAUUGCUUUACAAAAUAAAAAUCAACAGUUCAAAAAGAAAACCGCUUAUUUUAAGAAUUGUGUAAAUGAGCUAAUGAAUGAAGUUAUGUCGCUUAUUAAAGAGAGAAAAGAAAAUGAAUAUCUUAAAAAUGAAAAUGAAGUGUUAAAAGAAAAUUUGAAAAUGAGAGAUGCAUGCAUAAAUGCUUUUAAUGAUGGAAAAAUGAUGAAUGUUCAACAUGUUGAUAAUAUAACAAAUACAGAAAUAACAUCUUUAAAAAAUGAUCUUGUUAAAUUUGUGCAAGGAGAAGAGAACCUAAAUGUUAUGUUAGGGGCACAAAGGUCUAGUCUUGAUAAACAAAGAAUUUGGUUUAAUCCUAUUAAAAAUAUGAAAAAUAGAACUAAUGAUAAUAUUAGAAUGAUUAAUAAAAAACCAAGGUUUAAAUCACUUUAUUGUUCACCGUUUGUUACUUGUAGAAAAUAUGAUUUUAAAGGUCAUUUUGAUUCUAAUUGUAAUAAAAUUAGAAUAAAACAAAUUUGGGUAAAGAAAUGUGAUUUAUAUGCUACUAACCCAAAAGGACCCAAGAAGAUUUGGGUACCAAAAAUGUAGAGACUAUUUAUUCAUUUUGUAGAUGUCUCAAGGCCAAAAAGGAGACGAAUAGUAGUUACAUAUAAAUUAUUUGGCGGAAUCUGUAAGUACCUCAUAUUAUUUUUUAAAUAACGUUUUAAUUAGAUAUAUGUAUUUUCUAACACAAGGGUUCAUAAUAUUAUUUAUUCUAAAGUUUUUAUUGUGCUAAAUGUUCCAUAUUUAAUACACAUGACAAUCAUGAUGAGGAAUCAGUACUUGUAAUUUUUUUUAUGAACUUAACCAUGAUCUGUGAAAGGAAGAGAAUGAGUAUUCUGCAGAAAAAAGUAAUCUGGAACAUGGAAAUAAAAUAGCAAAAUCCAGACAGCUUAACCCGUCCGAAUCAGAAAGAAAGACAGCUGAAAUCAGACAGCCUGACCCGCCCGUUUUAGUAGAAAACUCAGACAUGCAGACACCAAAAAACAGACAGUCAGACUCGUCCGAUUUAGAAGAAAAAUAUGAUGAACACUCAGAUGCAGAAUUUGAUAUAUCACAAUUUGAAUCUAAUGAACAGAUGACCACUGCCAAGCUUCCUGGAUCAUCUCGAACUGUGAGAAAUCAUCCCCCAAAUUUGAUUAUAGGUGACCUCCACAUUGGGAUGAUCAAAAAAAGUGUUUUUAAAGAGAUUUGAUUAUGAAAAUCCAAAAUCGAAAACUACAGAGCACAUCUAGCAAGCUUACUAUUGGUAACAAAUCACAAAGGUAUGAUCGUAUUGUUUACUUGCUAUAUGUGAUUUUGUUAUAAAACUUUCUCCAAUGAUAUUUUUUUUAUCUUUGCACUUAUUUUUUUAAUAUUGGCAAAUGGGGCGAGAUAACUAUUUAGCUAAAUUGAUAUAAAUUAUUUUUUGUUGAUGAAAAAGUGUGACAACUCAAAAAUUUAGAAAAUCUUAAAUGAUUAAAUUAAAUGUUAAAGUUUAAAACCUAGAGUGAAAAUAGAGGAUUUAUUUAAAAAUUUUAAGAAAAAUCUAUACGGUUUAAUAAUUGAAAGAGAUUAUGUAAUAAUAACUAUAUCAAGUCAUAUGAAGAAAGCUUAUUGAAUGUAGCAAACCGUAUUAAGAGGGUUAUUAGACGUUAAAUUAAAUGUCUAGUCUAAUUCAUGAGUAUAUAAAUUAUUUUAUGAUUUAUGAAGAAUAUGUAUGUUUACGUAAUAUGAUAAAUAUAUUAAAUUAUAUUUGCUAUAUGUAAAUAAAUUGAUAUAAACAGUUUAUAAUGUGAGAAAAUAAAAUUAUUAAUUAUUUUUUAUAUGUGAUGUGUGUAUGUUUGGUGUAACUUGUAAUUGGGAGUUAAUAUAUAUAUAUAUAUAUAUAUAUAUAUNNNNNNNNNNNNNNNNNNNNNNNNNNNNNNNNNNNNNNNNNNNNNNNNNNNNNNNNNNNNNNNNNNNNNNNNNNNNNNNNNNNNNNNNNNNNNNNNNNNNNNNNNNNNNNNNNNNNNNNNNNNNNNNNNNNNNNNNNNNNNNNNNNNNNNNNNNNNNNNNNNNNNNNNNNNNNNNNNNNNNNNNNNNNNNNNNNNNNNNNNNNNNNNNNNNNNNNNNNNNNNNNNNNNNNNNNNNNNNNNNNNNNNNNNNNNNNNNNNNNNNNNNNNNNNNNNNNNNNNNNNNNNNNNNNNNNNNNNNNNNNNNNNNNNNNNNNNNNNNNNNNNNNNNNNNNNNNNNNNNNUGCACGGGGAGAAAGAAGGAGUAAUAAGCAUGUGGGGUAAAAAAAUUCCAAGUUUACUCUCACACUUCAAGCCAAGUGUCACCCCAAAGUUCAAGCCUCAUUAUUUUGUUAAGAGGUGCAAGCAAGUUAACAAAUUAGAGGGAGAAGAUGAGAGUUAGCAAAGAAAACAUUCUCUCUCAUUUUUCUCUCACACACCCGCCCACUUAGAAAAAAAAAGGAAAGAGAUCAGCCACUAAAGAAGGCAAAGGAGAGAGAAGAAGAAGAAGGAAGAGAGCAAUAUGAAAGGUAUAACACCCUAAUUUAGUUUAUUCCUUUUAUUGUUUUUGAUUUUGAUGAACUAUCAAUUUAUGAUUUUGAACUUUAAAAAUUUUAGAUAUACAUGUCAUAUAGUGUAUUUUGUAUGGAUCUAACUAUUUUAGGUGAUAAAAAGUUUGAUUCAAAGAAGAAAAAGCAAAACAGUUUUUUAAAAAACUAAGAAAAACUAGUGGACUGCUGCCCCUAAACAGAAAAUUCGGGGUUAGCUAGAAUACUCUAAAAAUUCAGGGCUUUUGGUAUGUUGUAUUACACUAAAUAAGUUUUCCAUAGACUCCAGAACGGACUAUUUCCGACUUCGGAGCAAAGAGUUAUGCUAUUUUAAAGUAGCCGAGUCAAAACUAGAAAACCAACUCGGGUCAGUCACUUUACACGGAAUUUCUGGAAUUCUAUGUUUAGAAUUUGGAAAAUGUCAAAGAAUAAAAGUUGUAGUUCCGGAAGUUAGCUUCGCGUAGGCUCAAGAAUCGCUCAAAAAUAUUUUAAAAUGAAAAUGUUAUGACUGUUUUAGCGAAAGAGGGUAAAGCUGGGAAAAAAGGGAAAACUCUUACGAGUGGACAUUUUUGGGGGCUAUUUUAGGCUGCCUAUGAGGUACGAAAUGGAUGGGUUAUAUUUUUUAAAAAAUAACCUACUAUGGUACCUAUAACAUAUCCAAAUUUGAGAAUUUUUCGAUAAGCGACCAAAGCGGGAGAAAAUCGCAAAGUGUGGUAGUUGAGAACGAACCACCAACAACAACUGUCGGCGCCCGCGCGCGCCAAGGCGCGGCCGCAUGCGCUGCCAGGCAGCGGUGCCGUGCUGGGCAGUUUGCUUGAUGUCCUUUUCGCACACUGUUUUGAUGAGUUUCUGUGAUCCGUUUUCACGAUGUUAAAUUUUUCUAAAAUACUACGCCAUAAGCUUUAUAACAUGCCCAAAAUUUUGUUGUUAUAUGACUUAGGAUUUAAAAAUAAAAAAUAAGCGAACAUGCAUGUCAAAACUAAAAUUUUGAGCGAACGCCGAGCGUUGGCGCGUCGAGCGAUUUUGACGUUCGACGUUCCGAAUCACUUUCCGACAAAAUAAUAAGUCAUAAUAAAUCUAAUAAAGUCCUACGGGGCGAGAUUUGACAAUAAGUGAUAUUUUAUGCCGAGAAACUUCCUUUCGGGCAUAAAUAAAGCAAUAAAAAUAUGUAAUACAUAUAAAUUUUAUAUUUACGUAAAAUAAAAAAAAUAUAGUUGCCUAUAAAAUUAUUUUGUGGUGCAACGAAGAAUUUAAAACCUUUAAAAAAUUGUAUUAAUCAUAAAAAUGAUAUUUUGAAAUUUUCAGUGCUCAAAAUAUGAUUUUUGAGCUGAGAUUUACGUAACAGAAUAUAUAUAUAAAGUAAAAUGCGAAUAAUCGUAAAAUGAAAAAUAAAGCAAACGUGCUAGUGAGAUAAAUUAUGAUGCAACUGUCAAUGUUAACUCAUGGAUUGACAAACUGAUGUAAAAAUUAUUUAAAUUAAAGAAAUAAUAUAGUAAAUUGAGUUUUACUAUAAAAGCUAUGUAUUAGCUGUUUAAACUCCGAAUUUGUGAGUAAAGCUAAAAGAUAUUUUUGAAAUGAAAUUUAAAUGUUUUAAGCUUCAAAAUGUAAAAUAUUUACAUCUUAAAAUGUAUGAGACCUUUAUUAUUUAUAUUAAUAAGUGAUUUGAAUAAUAUUAGAUAAUGAUUAAACUAUUAUUAAAUGAUUAAUAAUAUUAGAUAAUAAUUGAAAUAUUAUUAAAUGGUUAAUAAUAUUAGAUAAGGAUUAAAAUAUUAUUAAAUAGUUAAUAAUAUUAAAUAAGGAUUAAAAUAUUAUUAAAUGAUUAAUAAUAUUAGUGAUUAAAUAAAAUAUUAUUAAAUGAUUAAUAAUAUUAGUUAUGGAUUAAAAUAUUAGUAAUGGACUAGUAAUAUUAGUGUUUGAUUCAAAUAUUAUUAAAGGGUUAAUAAUAUUGGUGAAUGAUUAAUAUUCUAUUAAAUGAUUAAUAAUGUUAAGAAGUGAUUAAAUAUUAUUAAGUGAUUAAUAAUAUUAUUAAAGAAAUAAUAAUAUUAGAAAAGAGUUUAAGAUAAUGGUUAAGUGAUAGUAAUAUUAUUAAGGGAUAAUAAUAUUACUAAUGAGUUAAAGAAUUAUUCAAUAUUUGAUUAUGUGACUAAAUAUUAGUUAAUUUAUUAUUCGAGUAAUAGUAUUGUGAUAUAAAGUGUAUUAUGCUAAUUGGAAGACCCAUAUUAUUAAUGAUAGGUCUUUCGUAAGAGAUUAAAAUAGAUUACUUAGCAGUAAUCAGCGGUACAUGCAAGUUUUCUAACUCAAACUCGAGUUAAUAAUUUCCAGAAUGCUAGUGAUUUAAUUAUUGACAAUUAUUUUACAUCUAUGAUUAUUGAUUCGCAUUUAGUGCACAUUGCAUAUGUUUAUAAGGUAUGAAAUGCUGAUCACCUUCAUUACCAAAGUAUUUGUUCAUGCUCGUUGUUGGCUGUGAGACCCCAAAUUUUAUGAAUAAAGAUUUAAAUUUCUUGAAAUAUUUUUUUUUGAAUAUUAUGGUGUUGAUUUGAUAUAAUGUUAUAGUUGUGGGUAAUAUUUAUAAAUUUUGCAAAGUAUGCAAGUUGUUAUAAAAUAUUCGUUUGGUCGGGGAAUAUCCGUACGACGGCACAAUCAUUGGUGGACCCCACAACAAAAGUAUUGGCGUAGUUAGAAAAUGACAAAAUUAUCAUUUUAUAAAAAUAACGGCGAAAGUGUUACCGUUAAAACUUUUGAACUACCCGGUAGUAAAAGUACAGUAAUACGCGUGGUUGCAUAGUAGCACACGGUAUUGAUUAUUGAUGCUGUAAGAAGUCACUCAGUUAUACUUAAUUAUUGCUACAGUAAUUGCUGCAUCAUAUCUCUCAUGUUAUUGAUUCGAUUAUUGUCACAGUAUCAUUUGCAUAGUAUUUUAUAUAUUAUUAAAUCAAUAAUUGAGACGACAAAGUUAUUCAUAUUAUUAAAUUGCAAUAUUUAUAAUGUCUAGAAGUUCUGUCAAGGAGAGGUUUGGUCACCUAAUUGCGCGCCAAUAAGGAGAAAUCCUUAUCGGAAAGCCCCCUCUUUCCUGGGAACGACCUGGUUGUUAAAUAUUGUGAGUUAUAAUAUUAAUGAUGAAUAAGUUCGUGUUGAUUAAAGAUGAAAUUGAUAGUUCCAUUGUGUUGGAAUUAUUAGUGUUAGUGAAAAUCGACAUUUAUUUCGAUAAUAAUUUAUGUCUGGAAGUUAUCGGGUAAUUAAUCGAAUAAAUGAGGAAUUAAUUGCUAUUAAUUUACAUGAUUAUAACUAUUUGUUCACAUGUGUGUACUAUAGAUUCACAUUCAUGUACUAUUAGGGGAGUUGGUGCAAAAUUGAUAAUACUUGCAUGACUAAGUUAAAGAUGGAGGUAUAGAGGGAGGUACUAUAUUGUUAUUCGUAUUUUCACAUGAUUAUAACUAUUGAAUCACAUGAUUGAACUAUUGAUUCACAUUAUUUACUAUUAGGGAAGGUGGUGCAAGUUUGAUAAUACUUGCAGGACUAAAUUAAAAAUGAACGAAAAGUUGGAGGUAUUAUACUGUAAUUUUUCGAGCCCCAAAACGUGCAAUUAUCGAAACUAUAUUUUUCUAUAAAUAGAAGCUCAUUCUUCCUUCAUUUCUCACCAAUUCACUAAAGCUAUAGAGCAAUUAUUAUAGAGAGAAAUUAUAGAGAGAAAGAAGAAGAGAAGUUUGCUACCUCUCUAUUCCAGUAUCCAGCUUUAUUCUAAGGUAAGGGGUAUUAUUUCUUUCAUUUUCAUGAAGAGAGAUAUUGUUAUUUUAUUCCUUAUUAUUAUGUUGGAAUAACCUGUCUAUGCGAAGUACCGCAUACAUGGUCAAAUUCUUCUGUUAUUCCAUUCUUUAUUAUUCUGUUGGAAUAUCCUAUAUGUGCAGUUUACACAUGACCUGAUUUCAUUCUUUAUUAUUCUGUUGGAAUAUCCUGUCUGUGCGGUCUAUCGUAUGCAUGGUGAAUUCUUCUGUUAUUCCAUUCUUUAUUAUUCUGUUGGAAUAACAUGUCUAUGUGGAUUACCGCAUACAUGGUGAAUGAUCCUUUGUAUUCAUAUAAAUAGUAUUUUCAUUCAAAUGGGGUUUCUGCCAGGGGCAGUUUCGUAAUUUUUUUGAUCCUCAAAAAUUCUGAAAAAAUUUGAAAUGAUAAUUUGAUGAGUUUUCUAGAUUGUGUCCGAAAAUGGCGAUUUUUGGAUGUAUAGAUUAAGAGUUAUGAAUUUUAUGGGAAAAGACUAUUUUAAAAGUAAACCCUUAUAACUCUUUAUGGUUAACUCAAAAAUUGGUGAAUUUUUAUUGGGAGUACAUGUAUAUAAUAGGAGUAUACCCUGUAAAUUUCAGAAUUUUUGGACAAAAGUACAAUUUAUGAUAAAUGUCUAAAUAUUCGGCAGUUUUAUCUAUAUGAAAAAUAGUAAAUGAAUUUUUAAAAUUCCGAGAAAAAUAUAUGUUCAAUAUGGAACUAUAUUAUGCUAAAUCCCAGAAAUGAAAUAUUUUUGGGACUGAUUUGGUAUUUUUCAUGAAAAUGAACUAGUUAUGAGUAAAUGAAUUAAAUAUGUUAUGUGAAGUAACAAAAUUGGAAAAUAGGAUUUUAUGGCUUGGGAAUCCUAUAUAGGGUAUAUGCAGAUUUUUGAUGAGGGAUUUGAUCAUUGGUGAUGAAAUCUUAUGAGUAUGGCAUUUUUGAAUGAUUAAAUGNNNNNNNNNNNNNNNNNNNNNNNNNNNNNNNNNNNNNNNNNNNNNNNNNNNNNNNNNNNNNNNNNNNNNNNNNNNNNNNNNNNNNNNNNNNNNNNNNNNNNNNNNNNNNNNNNNNNNNNNNNNNNNNNNNNNNNAGUAGCCUGUAAUGCAUUGAUGGAGAAUUUUUGGUAUGAUUAUGACCAGGGAUUAUUCGGUAUAGUCAUGACCAUUGAUGAUUUAAUGAAUAUUUUUGGCCUGCAGUGCAGGGAUGAUUCGAUGAUGUGGUUUAUUUAUUAAGCUGAGUCUCAGCAAUAAAAAUUGUUGAAAAUAUUUUAAAACAUAGAAGAUAGUAGAUAUCAUGCUCUACUUGACUCUUCUAAUGGAUUGCUUAUUCUGCUGCAGUUAAACUUGAUGUCUAUUGUAUUUUAUCAGUUUAACAUUGUUGAAGACUAAUGAUAAUUUAUUCUGCAUUAUCUUAGUCAUAAUAUUUCUUACUGGGCUAGUUGAGCUCACCCUUUCACUGUUCUCUUCAGGAAAUGAGAACGUAGCCGAGAAUAUUCUUUUUGUCGGGGAACGGAGUGACGGUCCAGAUGAUGAUAUCAUUAGUAGUCCUCACUAUUCUGUUAAAUAGUGUGACAAUAAAUAUAAUGAGGACUCCAUUGAGUGUGGAUAUUGUCUAGAUGACAAUAUUCUUAUUAAAACUCCUAGAUUAUAUUUUGUCGUAUUUUACACGACUGUUGUAGAAUUAAGUUGUAUUUGAAUUUUGUACUAUGUAUUUGGCGACGACUCAAGAUGGGUGAUGUAUACCUAUUUUGGGGGUAUCACAGUUGAUAUCAAAGCUUAGGGAUAUGAUCCCUGGCUGAGAUGUGAAACAAGAACUAGGAGGGGAGAGACGAGGAAUUCCUUCGCUAGUAUGACCUACUUAAGUUUAUUUGGUAUUUAAUUGGUCGGUCAGGGUAUAGGGAUAAUAUGUGACAUGUCAAUUAACCCUUGUUUUAUGGCAGUAUUUGAGAAUGACAGCUGAAAAUAUUAACAAUGGAGUGAAUGAGAUCGUGGAAACACCUCUAAUCACCAACCAGGAUAAUGUGAUAUCAGGCGAAGAAGGAAUUAGAGAUAUCCAUGUGGUGAGUGAAGAAUUGAUAGUUGCACCCGAGAUAGUCGCAGAGGUAGCAGCUGGGAGUGAGGAAGAAGAGGAACCUGAGGAGAAUUUAUUAGAAGAAUUUUAUGAUCAAAAUUUAGAAUUUCAAAAUCGUGUUCAUGAGUUAGAAGAGCAGGCUGAAGAAUGGAAGGCGAUCAUGGAGCAAAAGGAUGCAACAAUUCAAGCUUGUGUUACCCGAUAUGUGAUGCUUAAACAAAAGCACUCUUUGGCAGAGUAUAAGAUGAUAAAGCUGGAAUCUGAGCUGAAAGAAGAAAUAACUGAACGAGUGAGAAUGAGCGAUGCAUGGGUAAAAGCCGCACGACGCGUUGAUAUUGUGGAAAAAAAUGUCCGAUCUAAGAAGGCUAUAAUAGAUGAUAUAUAUUUCUCUUUUUGGACAGCAAUUGAGAGAACCCAACAUCGAGUUUUGAAUUACCCUGUACAUUGCGGUCAACCUCAAUUUGAUAUGGAUCAAAGAUUAAUGAUUCAGAUCAUGAAACAAGAGUUCAAUGAAGCAGUUGAGGGUGGAAUAUGCCCUAUAGAAAAGUCAAUUUCAACGGUAGUGAUGACAUGCACCAAAUGCUGCCCUAGACAAGUUAAAGUCGGGUAGUUCAAGGGAGAGCGGUUGUCAUGACUUCCCAACAAGUGAGGAACCCAAAUGAAGUUAUCAUGAGUUAGUUAAUUAUAAAUUCUUGCGAAGUCUAUACCUUAUUCAAUACCAGUUUUACCCACUCUUUUAUUUCUCCUACUUACGCUCAAUGUUUAAAUUUGACUCCGGAGAAAUUAGACUUUGAUUUAUCUGUUGAAACUCCGUUGGGAGAAACCUUCAUUACCUCCACUAUUUAUAAAUCUUGUUUGAUUCAAAUUGACACUUUCACAUUACCUGUCGAUCUUAUCUCUUUGAAAAUACUUUCCUUUGAUGUGAUUUUAGGAAUCAAUUGGUUAAGUACUCAUCAUGCUUUUCGUAAGGUUGUUAACUUUUAUAUUCCUAACCAACCUGUUAUGUGAAUUCAAGCAACCAAACCACUAAAGUCAAUCAUUGUCAUAUUAAGCCAUAAGUAAAGAGCCCUGAGCCUUUCGCUGGUGACUUCUAAGUCUUGGAAUACACCGAAGCCAGAAUAUUCAUAGGGGACAUCGUGAAUAACGGUGACAAGUUGAUAGGUAUCAAUGUGACGUGCUAUCUAAGUCUUGGAUGAGAGUCACAGUUUUUUUUCUAUCGUUAAUAAAUUUCCUGACGUAUUCUUGAAGUGUAGGGGUUCGGCACAUAAAACGCAACGGAAAUAUAAAAAUUUAAAGCAAUUUUUGAAACCCAAAAACAGGAUCCAUGCGAAAAACAAUUAACUCAUUUGUUUAGAGAUUAUACCGAAUAUGAAAAACGAGAAUCUGAAAUUGAUGCGCUCGAAUCCUUAACGCAAUUCCUCACGAAACUACGUCUCUAUGGUAUCCACACGAACGCCGCACGAACCGUCGAACGAUUCUGCAAUAAGAGGGACUUACGGUACAAGCCACCAAAGGAACCUUUAUGAAACUGUAUGUUUUCUCUCUAGUCUCUCUCUAAGAGCGGCUAGGGUUUUCAAGUUAUGAAUUAACCCUAAGUAGCUGCUAUAUAUCCUAUAUAUAGUAGUUAAAAGGAAUUAAUCAAAACCUAAUUUCAUAAAAUUCGAAUUUAUAUAUAUAUAUAUAUAUAUAACUUAAUUAAGUCUUACUUAAUUAAUAUACAUAUAUACAAAUUUUCCUUUUAAUUUAAAUUCGUGAUUUAAAUACUAUUAAUCAUAUUAAUAUAUUUAAAUCCUUAAAAUUUAAAUUUAUUCCCUUUUAAAUUACGUUCUAUGUGUGUGACCNNNNNNNNNNNNNNNNNNNNNNNNNNNNNNNNNNNNNNNNNNNNNNNNNNNNNNNNNNNNNNNNNNNNNNNNNNNNNNNNNNNNNNNNNNNNNNNNNNNNNNNNNNNNNNNNNNNNNNNNNNNNNNNNNNNNNNNNNNNNNNNNNNNNNNNNNNNNNNNNNNNNNNNNNNNNNNNNNNNNNNNNNNNNNNNNNNNNNNNNNNNNNNNNNNNNNNNNNNNNNNNNNNNNNNNNNNNNNNNNNNNNNNNNNNNNNNNNNNNNNNNNNNNNNNNNNNNNNNNNNNNNNNNNNNNNNNNNNNNNNNNNNNNNNNNNNNNNNNNNNNNNNNNNNNNNNNNNNNNNNNNNNNNNNNNNNNNNNNNNNNNNNNNNNNNNNNNNUUCUCUAACAUGUACCUAUGCAUUGACUUAAUAUCUCAUAUAUUUAUGACCAAUGAGAUUUGGUCAUCAGUCAAUCCACAUACUAGUCUCAAUGCAUCAUUGUUGUCCCAUCAACAAUGAUACUCGACUAGGAACAUUUAAGAACAAUGAUACUAAUUAUAAUUAUAUAAUCUCAUGUUCAAGUCACAUACUUGAAACUAUAUAAUUUGUAUCACUAUUCUAAGGAUUUUUUUAUUAUGUUAACAUUUAUAUAACGCAGUAAAUAAAAUCAUUCAUUUAUUCAAUCAAAUAUAAUAUCAAAACGUUAAGCAAUUAUAUCAAAUAAUUGGCCUCUAGGGCAUAAACUCUAACAUGAAGAACUUCCUAGCCUACCCCUAGAGCGUGAAAUCGAAUUUUGUAAUGACCUCAGUACAAAACCCAUUUCUAAAACCCUUAAAUAUUUUUUCACCUAUAAUGAACGUAUUAUGCGCCAAAGACGUUGGCUCGAGCUGUUGAAGAUUACGACUAUACCACUCAAUAUCAUCGUGGAAGAGCGAACGUGGUAGCUGACGUGUUGAGUAAAAGAUCGUAUAUGUUUAUGAGUGCGAUGUUGUUAAAACAAAAACUCAUUUUGUAUAACUUAUAAAUGAUGAAGAUAAAGUUAAAGACUCUAGGGACCCACGUAAAGAUAACGAAUAUACGAGUAUAAUAGACUUUAAUCGAUAAAGUUAAAGCCGCUCAAGCUACACACCCGAAUCUGAUGAAUGUGAAGAAGAAGGUUCAAGAAGGCGUUAUCUCAACCCUCGAUUUAAUUGGCCCAUUUGAAAUCCUCGAUCGAGUAGGAACUGUGGCCUAUAGACUCGUUUUACCACCAAGUAUGUCGCGUGUUCAUAACGUUUUUCACGUAUCGAUGUUACGUAAAUAUGUGGACGACCCGAUCCACAUUAUUGAAUUGGAACUAGACGAGAUAGUAGAAGAUUUAAUGUAUGAGGAGAUACAUGUUAAAAUCUUGGAUAAGAAGAAUCCUAUUCGACACUCAAAGGUUAUACCUCAAGAGUUAGAAUCUAAAAUGAAGUCAAGGUAUCUUCACCUCUUCGGCAUACCAGGUACGUACGUAAAUUUCGAGGGCAAAAUUUCAUAAGGAGAGGAGAUUGUGAGACCCCAAAUUUUAUGAAUAAAGAUUUAAAUUUCUCGAAAUAUUUUUUUUGAAUAUUAUGGUGUGGAUUUGAUAUAAUGUUAUAGUUGUGGAUAAUAUUUAUAAAUUUUGCAAAGUAUGCAACUUGUUAUAAAAUAUUCAUUUGGUCGGGGAAUAUCCGUACGACGGUACAAUCAUUGCUGGACCUACAACAGAAGUAUUGUCGUAGUUAGAAAAUGACAGAAUUAUCAUUUUAUAAAAAUAACAACGAAAUUGUUACUGUUAAAACUGUUGAACUACCCGGUAGUAAAAGUACAGUAAAACGCGUGGUUGUAUAGUAACACACGGUAUUGAUUAUUGAUGCUUACGUAAGAAGUCACUCAGUUAUACUCAAUUAUUGUUACAGUAAUUGUUGCAUCAUAUCUCUCAUGUUAUUGAUUCGAUUAUUGUCACAGUAUCAUCUGUAUAGUAUUUUAUAUAUUAUUAAAUCAAUAAUUGAGACGACAAAGUUAUUCAUAUUAUUAAGUUGCAAUAGUUACAAUGUCUAGAAGUUCUGUCAAAGAGAGGUUUGGUCAUCUAAUUGCGCGCUGUUGGUUGAUUUCACAAUCAAAGCAAACGUGCAAGUAUACACGAUCAACAAGUAAUAUAGUGAUAAAUUAGAGUAUCGAUCCCUCAGAGAAUUCCAAUUAAUAAACUCCAACUACUAGUACUGUAUCAAUCCAAUUUUAUUUAAACAACCAAAAAUUGUGAUUAUUAAAGCUAAGAAAACUAAAUGUAACUAUAACAAGAAAUUAUGCUAAAAGAAUACAAGAACAAAUUAAGAAUUAUUUGAAUGCAGAUGAAUGAUAAUUAAGGCUCCAAUUUCCCCAGAUAUGAUUAUUAAAUCAAUUAUUCAAUUAUCCCAAUUAUUAUGUCUACUGAAUUGUUAACAGGAAUUCUCAAAUGCCAAAAACCCUCUCUCGAGUGAUCAAUUGCCUUCUAUUUAACCCAGAUUAAUUUUGCUAUAUCUCUAUGCAAAACAAUUGAAUUAAACUCGUUACAAUCCCAAUUCCUUAUGUGUUACAUGCGGCAAAUAGUUAUUCUCAUUCUAUUCACAAACCUAAUUAUUCACUGUGCAAAUAACUAAGUCACAUGUCACCAUGCCCAGUUCUAACCCUAGAAUUCCUUUCUCAAUUCCUUCUAGAGUAACACGGUAAUUAUUGGCCAGAUAAUUAAUCAAUAAAUACAAGGCAUGAUGAACAAUUCACUUCAACAUAAAUAAUUGGAAUAAAUUAAAUAAUCAAUUCAUAAUCAUAAAAGGUUCCAUUGGAAUCUUAAUAAAAAGAAUUUGUUCAUGACGGAAAUAAAAACCACAAAUAAUUGAUAAAUCAUCCUUAAUGAGUUACAUAAUUUUUAAAAGAAUAAAGAAGAAGAAGAAGAACUCCAAGCUGAAAGCCUUCAGAUCUGCUCUUGCUCUUUUGAUCAAUCACCAAUUGUGUAGAAUCGCCCCCCAAUUCAAUGUAAAGAAUCAAUUUAUAUUUUUCUGCCCAAUUCCAAUAAUUCUAGUCCAAAUAGGCUUCCAAAAUACACAAAAUAAAGUCAAACAGCAAGUCAAUGUGAAGCCCACGCCUGUUCCACACGCGCGCCCCCCUGUCAGAGUCAACCGAAGACCAGCGCCCCGGCGCUGUCUUUUACUCUUGGAACAGCGCCCCGACGCUAGGGUGCAGAAACUGAUUUUCUUGCUUUUUUCAAUCCCACAACUUCCAAACGUCCCAACAGCACACAAUCCUGCCACAAACACAACUUAAACAAGUAAAAUGAUUCUAAAAUGCUUCGGACACACAACAAAUUAAGGUCAAACAUAAUCAAUUCAUGGGUAUAUUACUCAAUCAUCAAAUACCCCCAAACUUAAAUCGUUACAUGUCCUCAAGCAACAAAACACAAAACACGAAUAACUAAACAUCAUGCAAAUACAAACUAAUUAAAGGACCUUAAUUCCAGCAAUUUAAUAGUUAACGAAUAUCCAUAGGCCUCAGAAAAAUCACUAAAACAUGCUAAUACCUCCUGAUAAAGCAGAUCAAUAAUAUCCAAACAAUCAAUCAAUCAAAAUCUGUUAUUACUGAUAUUGUGAGUGUGUGUUCAACAACCAUGCUAACCAAUGACAAGCAAAAAUCUGAAAGAUAAUAAAGUGCAUAUCAAGCUUCAUACAGUUCAACUCAAGAACGCACCAAAUAAACUAGAUUCAACUGAAAUUACACAAUCACCAAAAUUCAGGGGUCAACAUGAAAUACUUAUGCUAUUAGCUUUUUUUUUUGACGGGGGCAUUUUGCACUUUUUCCGCUUUAUUACAUACAUAUUUUUUUAAACCAUAACUAUGCAUUGUCUUAUUCUCUUAGGUUUUUCAAUGCUACCUUAACGAGCUUUCGACCAACGACUCCCAAGCCAUUAAGACCUUAGGGCGCUAGGUGUAGAGACAAUCCCAUCGGGCUUACUUACUCAAGUAACAAAGGCCACAAAACUAGACAAGCAUGCCAUGGUGUUUAUAAUUUUUAUUUAUUUAUUUUUUUCAUAGCUUAUAUACUUCAUAUAUUUUUCCCCCAAACUUGAGUUCAUGCCUAAAUUCAGUCUUCACUAACUACUUAAAUUGCUCUUUCAUUUUACUAGCAUUCAUCCUGCAGAACUCCAUUAUCUAUCCAUUUUAAUUAUCAUAGCUAACAUGAUCAUUUGUUUAAAUUGUGCUAUCCUUAUAACAUCAGUGUCAAACAGAUAGAGAUUCAAAUCAUGUCAAGAACAUCAUAUCACUGACUCAACAAUCCUUACUAGACUUGCUCAUGCAAUUUUAAGUUCAUCAUUGGCCUUCAAAUAUACUCACUAUCAAAAGCUGGAAUUAACAUGCAAUCCUAAAUGCAACAAUUAUAAAAAUUAAAACAUCCACAAACUAAUAACCAACACAGAUUUACGCAUGCAAAUAAAAAUUAACUAACAACUACCCCCAAACUUAUCUAGAGUAAUGUCCUAAUGCGAAAGAUAACCAAAAUAAAACAGAGGACUUCCCUGAUGAGCCUAAGCCUCGGGUGGAGCAUCAUCAUCCUCGUUCAUCUCUAGAUCAAAAGGGGGAAAAACUGGCAGAACUGGGGCAGUCGGGAACUGGCUGAGGCUAACACCCGGAAACAGCUGGGCGUUCAUCGCAUUUUGUGCAGUAAAUUAAUCAACCAAGUAUUUAUAGAGCACAUCUUGGCGCUCAGACAGGCGGACAUUUUGGGCUUCAAUAUUGUAGAACCAACCAUUAACUUCUCUUUAAACAGCUUCGGGAACCACACCUCGAUACGCUGCAGAUGAUUGACCAUAAGUAGGUGGAGCCUGUGAUGGUGGAGCUUGAGAUUGUUCAGCUUGGGGAAUUAUGAAACCCAAUCCCCUAGGGUGAUUCGUUCCACCAGUCCACACUUUGUACCUGCUGAUUAACUUAUGGUCCAGCACUGGCAUAGGCUUUUGGAUCGUCUCGUCUGACUUCCAUUUGACGCCGAACUUAGCACAUAAUACGCAGAUGAGAGACGGAUGUGGUAACCCUCCAGUGGUACUUCCACGAGAUGCUCGGAGGACAGAUUGCAAGAUGAGAUGGCCCACAUCAACUUUAAAACCUUUGAUGAUUAAGUAAAGAAGCACUACACGUUCCCUGGUAACAUGACUCACAUGGGUGCAUGGCAUGAGUUUUGCGCAAAUGAACGUAUACCAGGCCUUCCCAUACAAGCUGAGAUUCGAUAGUGGGAAAGUCAUGUUUCCACGUUCAUGUACUGUCCAUGUGGUGCCCGGCUGACAAAGCUCACGAAUUAUCUGCUCAUAAUCUGGCCCAUCACUCACAAAACUAGCAUACUCAUCAUGAAAACCCUCUACUGGCAGUUGAUAACACGCAUUGAAGUCUUCUUCGCCAAUUUCCACUAUUUUGCUCCUUACAAAUACCGUAUAGUGAUCAUGUUCGGGAACGUUGGCGUAAAAUUCUUUCACUACUGCAAUUACCGCGGGAUCGGGCUGCGCGGUGAGUGUGAACCAGUUUCUUUCGGCUAUCAUGACUGCCAUGUCGCCAUCCUUUGAUUGAUCCGAUCUCAGCCCACGCUCCGGAACCAAUGAACGAGUAGCCAUGCGGUUGUAUCUUUCCUGAGCCGCAAGACUGACAAAACGGCGGCUGUCAAAUCUCGGAGGUGGAGUUGAGGCGGUCCCUGACCCUUCACCACGCUGGCGUUUGGAUGCCAUGUCAGAAAUUCUGCAAUUACAAGCACAUAUAUAUAUAUAUAUAUAUAUAUAUAUAUAUAUAUUAGUAUUGAACAUAAUUUGAACUUUGAUAAACUUAUGUAUGGCUUUACCCCCAAACUUUGAAAAAUAUGUGGAAAUUGAGCACAUUGGUGGGGGUGGUGCUUGACAGAAAAACGCGAGUGCAUGUACAAUUGUACCGAUUGGAGUCAUGGACUCUUCAGUUACUAGAAUUAUCAAAACCAACCCAAGAGAUGCCCAAAAGGUUUAUCAUGGAGUGCAAUAGGAGUAUACCCUAUAAAUUUCGGAAUUUUUGGAUAAAGUACAAUUUAUGAUAAAUGUCUAAAUAUUCGGCAGUUUUGGCCAUAUGAAAAAUAGUAAAUGAAUUUUUAAAAUUCCGAGAAAAAUAUAUGUUCAAUAUUGGACUAUAUUUUGCUAAAUUUCAGAAAAGAAAUAUUUUUGGGACCGAUUUGGUAUUUUUCAUGAAAAUGAACUAGUUAUGAGUAAAUGAAUUAAAUAUGUUAUGUGAAGUAACAAAAUUAGAAAAUAGGAUUUUAUGGCUUGGGAAUCCUAUAUAGGGUAUAUGUAGAUUUUUGAUGAGGGAUUUGAUCAUUGGUGAUGAAAUCUUAUGAGUAUGGCAUUUUUGAAUGAUUAAAUGCAUUAUUUGGUAAAGUGUAAACAAUUGAAAUAAAUUAUUUAUAAGUUUAANNNNNNNNNNNNNNNNNNNNNNNNNNNNNNNNNNNNNNNNNNNNNNNNNNNNNNNNNNNNNNNNNNNNNNNNNNNNNNNNNNNNNNNNNNNNNNNNNNNNNNNNNNNNNNNNNNNNNNNNNNNNNNNNNNNNNNNNNNNNNNNNNNNNNNNNNNNNNNNNNNNNNNNNNNNNNNNNNNNNNNNNNNNNNNNNNNNNNNNNNNNNNNNNNNNNNNNNNNNNNNNNNNNNNNNNNNNNNNNNNNNNNNNNNNNNNNNNNNNNNNNNNNNNNNNNNNNNNNNNNNNNNNNNNNNNNNNNNNNNNNNNNNNNNNNNNNNNNNNNNNNNNNNNNNNNNNNNNNNNNNNNNNNNNNNNNNNNNNNNNNNNNNNNNNNNNNNNNNNNNNNNNNNNNNNNNNNNNNNNNNNGAUCCAGAUGAUAGCAUUAGUAGUCCUCACUAUUCUGUUAAAUAGUGUGACAAUAAAUGUAAUGAGGACUCCAUUGAGUGUGGAUAUUGUCUAGAUGAUAAUAUUCUUAUUAAAACUCUUAGAUUAUGUUUUGUCGUAUUUUACACGACUGUUGUAUAAUUAAGUUGUAUUUUAAUUUUAUACCAUGUAUUUGGCGACUCAAGAUGGGUGAUGUAUACCUAUUUUGGGGGCGUCACAUUGACCACUCAUCGUUAUUAAUUCAAUCAACUAUGUAUUGAAAUUUGAUUCAUGCUCUUUCACAAUCAUUAUAUUAUUGAAAACUUAAAAGCUUAUUCUUUCUUUCAAUCAUGAUAUAUUUUUAUUGUAUUUAAACUUGCUGAGCAAAGUAGUUGUUCACCCUUGCUAUAUCAUGAAUAUAUUGCAAUUUAACCCGAAUGCUCAAAGAAGGACAAAGGCAAAGAAAAAGAUGGAGAUUAUUUUUAUAUGGACAUUUAUCUAUUAUGAUAACUGACGUAAAUUGAUGAUGUAAACCUUGUGAAUUAUUAAAGGUAUGUAUUAAGAUAAAGGUUGUAGACCUUGGGAAAUGUUACAGAACCAUGUGUAAUAAAUAAUUUAUGUUUAUAAUUACGCGUUAGUUUAUAUGUAUGAAGAUGAUGUAUCGUGACGCACCAGGUCCGAGGUUCAAAAGACCCUAAUUUGGGGGCGUUAGAGGAGAGAUAUUUGGGUAAUGAUGAUUAUGUUUUAAUCAACUUGUGCUUAAUGAUUUCUUUUUGAUAAUGACAAAGGGGGAGAGAUAUUUGGUAUUUGAAUUGGUAUUCAUGUUGGUAGUGAGAUACUAUAUGCAAUGAUGGUUAUUUGAAUCAAGUCAUUUUUUUUUUGCUCCUUAAUAUGCAUAAAUUUAGUGGGAGCCUUAUAGAUAGGGGGAACAUGUAAAUUCAAAAGAUAAUAUAUUGUCAUCAUCAAAAAAGGGGGAGAAUGUUGGUUUAUAUCUUUUUGUGAUUUUAAUAAUGACAAUAUAUUUGGGAAUUUAUUUUGCUGAGAUUUCAAUUCAAAUUUGAAUCGGAGCUUUUUAAGGAAUUGAUUCUGCUAAGGAGUUUGUUUAUAUUUAACAAGGAGUCUUAUAAUUAAGGAAUUGUUUUAUUAUGCUCAAUUAAACUCUAUAAGGUAUAGUUUUCUUUCCUUUAUUCUAGCUAUUUUGGUUUGACUAGGAUAUUAUAUUCUUGGUUUACCAUAUUUGUUGGUCUCUUUAAUUGCUAAACUCAUGGGUAUAAUAACUGAGAUAUAAGUUUCCUAUACUAACUUCUUUUUAUAUUUGUUGGUCAAAUUUCGUAGCUAUAAUUAUGGGAUUUAAAAUAACUGAUCUCUUGUUAUCAUUUUAUAGUUGUUGAUCAAUCUUUAUCAAGCAUAUUCAUUAUUCCUCUAUUUAAAUUAUUUUGGGUCGACUAGGAUAUAAUAUCUUUGAUAUCUAAUAUCUUUUGGUCUCUUUAUUUUAAACAUGUGAUAUUCCGAUUGUUGAGAUUUUCAUGCUAACCAAAUAUAUAUCCGUUAGUCCUUGAGCCAAGCUGCUGAGUUCAUUCUUUUGUCCAACGGAUAUGAGGCUUAUUUUGGUAACAAAAUAAAUAUAGCCGGUGUAAGACUUCGAAUUUUAUGAAAUGAAAGUAUUCAAUUUUCUUAUAAUUAUUAUUUUAUUUCGUAAAUGGUUAAAUAGAUAAAAGGUUAAAGUUAAGGGUGAUAUGUGAAAAUUUUUGCAAAGUAUGCAAGUUGUUAUAAAAUAUUCGUUUGGUCGGGGAAUAUUCUUUUUAUCGGGAAAUAUCCGUACGACGACAGAAUUAUAUAGAAUGGAAGUAUUAUCGUAGUUAGAAAAUGACAAAAUUAUCAUUUAUAAAAAUAACGGCGAAAGUGUUACCGUUAAAACUGUUGAACUACCCGGUAGUAAAAGUACAGUAAUACGCGUGGUUGUAUAGUAGCACACGGUAUUGAUUAUUGAUGCUUAAAUAAGAAGUCACUCAGUUAUACUCAAUUAUUGUUACAGUAAUUAAUGCAUCAUAUCUCUCAUAUUAUUGAUUCAAUUAUUGUUACAGUAUCAUCUGCAUAAUAUGUUAUAUUAUUAAAUCAAUAAUUGAGACGACAAAGUUAUUCAUAUUAUUAUUUGCAAUAUUGACAAUGUCUAGAAGUUCUGUCAAGGAGAGGUUUGGUCACCUAAUUACGCGCCAAUAAGGAGAAAUCCUUAUCGGAAAGCCUCAUCUUUCCUGGGAACAACCUGGUUGUUAAAUAUUGUGAAUUAUAAUAUUAAUGAUGAAUAAGUUCAUGUUGAUUAAAGAUGAAAUUGAUAAUUCCAUUGUGUUAGAAUUAUUAGUGUUUGUGAAAAUCGAUAUUUAUUUCGAUAAUAAUUGAUGUCUGUAGGUUAUAUUGACCAAUCGGGUAAUUAACCGGAUAAAUGAGCAAUUAAAUGAUAUUAAUUCACAUGCUUAUAACUAUGUGUUCAUAUGAGUGUACUAUUGAUUCACAUGAUUUACUAUUAGGGAAAUUGGUGCAAGAUUGAUAAUACUUGCAUGACUAAAUUAAAAAUGGAGGUAUAGAUGAAGGUACUAUACUAUAAUUAAUUUUUUCACAUGUUUAGAACUAUUGAGUCACAUGAUUUACUAUUGAUUCACAUGAUUUACUAUUAGGGUAGGUGGUGCAAGAUUGAUAAUACUUGCAGGACUAAAUUAAAAAUAAAGAAAAAGAGAAAGGUAUAACCUGUCUGUGCGGUCUAUCGCAUGCUUGGUGAAUUCUUCUGUUAUUCCAUUCUUUAUUAUUCUGUUGGAAUAACCUGUCUGUGCGGUCUAUCGCAUUCCUGGUGAAUUCUUCUGUUAUUCCAUUCUUUAUUAUUCUGUUGGAAUAACCUGUCAACGUGGACUACCGCAUGCAUGAUGAAUUCUUCUGUUAUUCCAUUCUUUAUUAUUAUAUUAGAAUAACCUGUCUAUGUGGAUUACCGCAUGCAUGGUGAAUGAUCCUUCGUAUUCAUUCCUUAUUAAAUUAUGGAAAUGAUCUGUCUACGUGGAUUACCGCAUGGCGGGAGAAAAUCCAUUUGUAAUUUCAUAUAUUCUAUUAUACUCAGUUGGUUAAAGUUUUGGCUUCUAUACUCCAUGAAAUUAGUAGAAUAUCCUGGAUAUUUGCGCUUCAUCCAGUAUCUUUUCAUGGAAAUAUUNNNNNNNNNNNNNNNNNNNNNNNNNNNNNNNNNNNNNNNNNNNNNNNNNNNNNNNNNNNNNNNNNNNNNNNNNNNNNNNNNNNNNNNNNNNNNNNNNNNNUCUAUCAGUUGUUAUACUGUUGAAGGCUAAGGAUAAUUUAUUAUGCAUUAUCUUAGUCAUAAUAUUUCUUACUGGGCUAGUUGAGCUCACCCUUUCUUUCACUAUUCUCUUCAGAAAAUGAGAAUAUAGCCGGAACAAGUCGUGGAACGGAUUGACGGUCCAGAUGGUUGUUUUAGUAGUCCUCACUAUUCUAUAAAAUAGUGUGACAAUAAAUGUAAUGAGGACUUUAUUGAGUUUGUAUACUAUCUAGAUGACAAUAUUCCUAUUAAAACUCUUAAAUUAUGUUUUGUCGUAUUUUACACGACUGUUGUAUAAUUAAGUUGUAUUUGAAUUUUGUACCAUGUAUUUGGUGACUCAAGAUGGGUGAUGUAUACUUAUUUUGGGGGCGUCACAGCCGGUAGGUUCGUCUUUAUAUAUAUAUAUAUAUAUAUAUAUACACUAUCCUUCUUGGCUAUAACAGGUACAUGGAAGUAAAUAUCAAAAAGAGAAACUUGAAACAAAUAUCAAUCUUAUAAAAGGAUCUGGAUCCUCUAUGAGGAUUUUUUUUGUGAGGAUCUAGUGAGGGUUUUGCUGUAGAGUUGACAACACAUCAGAAAGGAGAUCUAAUGGCUCAUAACUCUUUUUUUUGUCUGUGUAUCAAAACGACGUCGUUUUGAUAUGAAUUUUUUCUUACAAGUUGACAAAUAACUUGAAGCCACCAAACACCGUUUAUUUUUACAUAUAAUUAUUUUAAAUUUCUUGAUUAUUCUGUAUAUGAUUUUUUUUUAUAUUUAAUAACUUAGCUUGCUAUUAAUAUUAGGAUAACUACAAACUUGGCUCAAAAAAAUAAAUAAAUAUAUCGGUUAUAAUUAUAGUUAAUGUUUUCAAUGUGGCUUUAGAUAUUUUUCGUUUAUUAUUGUUUUUGUUUGUUUGUUUAUAUUAUUUAUUAUUAUUAUUAUUAUUAUUAUUAUUAUUAUUAUUAUUAUUAUUAUUAUUAUUAUUAUAAUUUAUAUUUAUCUGUUCCAUAAAAAAGAGUUUACUCUCACCAUUAAAAAUAUUAUUAUUAUUUACUCUAACCAUUGGGCCGGCUAGGUUAUAAACCAAGAAAAUAUUCUAGACCUAUCAAUUAUAAUUAUUUACGUAUUCCUUUAUAUCUUUUUUUAUUAUUAAUAAUCGUUUUACUUUACAUCUCUUAAUCCAUUGCUCAACGAAGACAAUCACCAUCAAAACUCAAAUAUUAUUUUAAAUGUACUCUUUUUACUUUACUUCGUUUGUUUGGUAAAAGUAAAUUGUGUUUGGUGGCUUCCAAUUUUCUAUCAACUUGUAAAAAAAAAAAAAUAUUAAAACGACGUCGUUUUGAUACAUAGAAGAAAAAAUGAGUUGUGAGCCAUUGGAUCUCUUUUCUAAUGUGUUGUCAACUCCACAACAAAAUCCUCACAAGAUCCUCACAGAGAAAUCCUCAUAAAGGAUUCGGAUCCCUUAUAAAGAGAUACUUCCAUAGAGAGCUAUCAAAGUUUAUUUUUUCAGUAAGUCUUGUUCUAUUAAUUAAUUCUUUGUUGGCUGGAAAAUAAGGAUUCUUUGUAAUCAUAUAUUUCAUGUAAAUCUGAGUUCAAGUCUUGUUUGGCUUGACUGAUCCAAUAGUGAAUAGGGUUUGUUCAAAGAGAGCUGUUAAGGUUGCAGAGGUGCAAAUGUGUCAGUGGUGAGAAAGGUUGCAGAGGUGUAAAGGAGCAUUUGUGUCCAUCAGUGUGAAGCUACUUUGAACAUGGAGUUCUUUUUAUUUGUAUUUAAUUGUGCAUUAAAGUUUAAUAAAAAGAGUCUCCAAUACCUUUUGGUAUUGGACGUGGAUUAGGCUACUAGACUAGAGGAUAGGGACUGAACCACGUAAAAAUCUUAGUGUGAUUUACUGUUUUUUUUUGUUUCUGUUUUAUGCUUUAAUAUUAUGCAAUUUUUGGUUUAAAGUCGUAACCAAAAUUUAUACUAAAACAGACAGGUAUUAGUUGUCCGUUUAUAACAGACGAAGAACAUAACUAAUACGGAUAGGGUUAGACCGUCCGAUUAUAUUGCAAUAGUAAACUUUAAAAAUUGACCACUGUAAAUCACUUUUGGAUAUUUACACAUAUUCACCCCCUCUAGGUGUGCUUAAUUACAGAAUUUCAGUACACACUAGACUUUUAUCCUAUUUUAAUUAAUUAAUUACCAUAAUUAGUUUGUUUUCUUUUCUUGAUUUUCUGGUAGCCUGGUAAAUUAAGAAAGGUAUAUUGAUCAUAUAAUUCAACUUACGAGAUAAAUAAAUACAUUUCCUCAUGAUAGAGAUGAUAUAUUGAACUUUAAAAUAGCUAGAAUUAAAUGAAAUUAGUUAAUUUGGGGAAAAAAUAUUCAGUAAACUAAUUAAAAACGUAUAAGACCUGUACGGAGAUUGAAGUCACAUAUUUUGUAAAGAUGCAUUGGUCACUCAAAAUGUAUUGCUCAGUUUCUUAAUAGAAAAUUUUACAGUACUCAAAAAUUUAUAUAUGAAUUGUCUGAAAAUACUUUAAAAUGUUGGAUAUAUUAUGAACAAAUAAAUUACUUAAGAAUAAGUGGAAAAACUAAGUAAUUAAAUUACAUAGACAGGAAAUUAUUUUAAAAUGUUGUACUAUGAACCAAGAUUCUUAUAAUCGGACCGUUCAUCGAACUCGGGUGAAUGAGUUAUUAGUCCAACUAGUGCUCGAACCAUUAUUGUUUCAGCGAUAUCAUUAAUAUAUAAAAAUAUAUAUUAUUAGUAAUUAAUAAAAAAUUUAAAAAUCUCGUUUCUUAUGAACUAAAAUAUAAUAAAGAUGAGUUACAAUAUUAAUAAAAGUAGUUAAUUUUAAUAUUAAAAAAAAUUGGUAAAACAAAUAAUAAUUAAAAAUAGGGUCAAUUAUCGAAAUUACCGAUUGAAUCAACCCGAGUUUUAUCCAAAAUUGAAUCAUUGGUCUAAAUCGAAAUGAAAGAAUUUCGAUUUUUAUCUCUGAGCUUUAAAACACUGCCAUGAACCAAUAAAUUACUUAAGAAUAUGCGGAAAAACUAAGUAAAUUCCAUGGACAAGAAAUUGACAACAGUUAUCAUAAAGUUCAGUGGGCCACAAAUAUAAUAAUGCCCCUUAUCUCCAUCAAAUCGAUGUCUAGGAUUCUAAUUGCUGUGAAUCAUAAAACGUACAUACAUUUAUAUAUAUAUAUAUAUAUAUAUAUAAUUUUGAAACGGAAAGAAUAUAUUAGAAAUUUAAUGAAUCCAUUGUUUAUAGCUCUCAUAAGGAUUAUUUUGUAAUUAAUGUUUCUUAAUUCUUAUCACUGAUGUUGGCCAACAACUGCAAUAUCAUUUCGUCAUCAAUGUUCUGUAUUUGGGAUACAUGUGAUACAAACUGUGACCAAAUCAGUUGAGUGUAUGCAGAUAAAGACAAACCAUCGCAAUAGCCGACAUAUAUCCAGAAGUUUGCCAAGUGAUUAAUUAACCUAAGCUGGUUUGUAAUUUUGAACUAGUUACUUAAUCAGUGAGAAAUAAAUAAAUAUACCUAUGAUACAUUUAAUGAAUGCAUAGGUAUAUUUAUUUCUCUCUACUUUCUUUUCUUUUUUUGUGUUUUGUGUAUUAUAUCAUUAUUAAUUUCUAAUAUAACGGAUGCAACUCCUCAACUUACUUCCAUCGCAUCUACUUUUCUAAUGCCCGAUCGAUUUAAUACAUACCAAGUUAAUGUAUAUGUAAAAUUAACCCAGGCAAGAAAUGUUUUUGAAAUAUCCAAUAAUUUUUUCUUCUUCUUCUUCUAAUUAAUGAAGUUUGUUUAGGAAAAAAGUAGUUCUCCAACUUAAUUUUUGUCAGCUGCAUGCCAAUCAAAUUCUUACACACACUCAACUUUACUACUGCUCCACCCACUAUUUAAAACCAAAGAGAUGAUAUUAUUCAAAAAUGGAAAACAGGUAGUUAUAUAUCUUAUUUAAUAAUUCACGCUACCAAUUAUUCUGCGGAUUAAAUAAAUAAAUAAAUUUACAGAAAUGAAAUUAUAUUUGUUAAAAUCAAAGUUAUUCUCCAACUCAACCCACAAACCGAGUUUUAUAGCUAACAAAAAAUUUUUCCAAGUCAUAACAAAAUUCCUAAAAAUACGAAAACAAAAUCCUAAAAGAUAACAAAUUUCCAAUAUUUAUAGAAAUAAAAUUUUAAUAAGUAACAAAUUCCUAUUACGUAAUAAUAUAAAAAAUUUACUUCUUAAAUAAAAGCUACUAUCAUAAAAGAUGGUAUUUCUGAAUUUCAGAAAUCUAAGGGAGUGGUCCCGAAGGGGUGGUCCGCCAUCUGAAUCUCGAAACCCUCAUCCGAAUUCCGAAGAUGUCAAUAACCACUAUAAUCACCACAUUUAUAUCGAUUCUCCAACGUAUAAUAUUAUAAUAUCAUUAACGUGUUAUCUAAUAGUUCGACGUCAUCGAAUUCGGAUCCUCCGACAUCAAUAAUAUAAUGUGGCAAGACUAUUAAAGUAUUCCCGAGAUUUUAUACUAAAAGGAAAUUUAGAACCUUGUCUCCAACCUAGCUAAGUACGUAGUUAUCUAUUCGCUUUAUUGAUGGGACUCGAUCGUACUAUAUAGUAAACUUUAAACACCAAACAAGACUAGGGUUUUCAACUAUCUUAAAUAGUACUCCUACCCUCUAAUUUUUUAAUUGACUUUUUAUAUUCAAAAUGAUCAUAUUUAAAAUUAAAAAUUAUUUUUAAUUUUAUUAGAUAUAUAUACAACAUUAUUAUCAUAAAAAAGUACGUGAAAUAUAUUAUCAAAGUCAAUUUAUUUUAUGUCAUAAUUUUUAAUAUAUUUGUUUAAUAAAUUAUUAAUUUUAAAAUUAAUCAAUUUAAUCUUAAGAAGUUAAUUAAGACAAACAAAGUUAGAGGGAUGGAGUAAUACCCAUACUCUAAGUUUAUUUACAACACUUUUUCUUUUUGCCAGUUAAAUUAUUGUAUAAUAAAAUAAUUAAACUUUUUGAGUAUAUAAACUCGAUCGAUGCUUCUAUAUUUCUUACCAUUUUUCAAAGAGGAAGUAUACUACUAAGUACGUAAAUUGAAAGAGAGAGUAUAACUUAUUUCUUUUAUAUAUAUUUUAAAAAGAACAUUAUUUUUCAGUUGAUUCUUUGAAAUGAAUUUGCAUAUGAUAUAUAAGAAAUUAAGCUAACAAUUUUAAACCAUAUUUUUUAGAUUUUGAGUCGCACCGAAUCAUCUAAAUUAAUCACGGGAUUUCCAAUCAUUUCAAGAUAAAUUACCCCACAUAUACAGCCAUGUUACAUCAAAUAUACAGAAACGCACAUACUGAUGUGAGAUUGACAUAAUUCUACAAAUUGCUAAUUUUCGUAUCAUUUUUUUCAGAUAUAUUUUUAUCAUUUCAAAUUACUAAAGCCCUUCACGUCUUUUUGACAAGACAUAAAUAUUCUUUACUUGUGAUGUUUAAUCAAUCCUAGUAAUUGUCCAUGCACGAUGUAACGAAAUCAUGUCCCUCUUUUCGUUUCAACAAUCUCAUUUUCAUUUCCUCUCUCUCCUACUCCUUCUUCCACCAAUCUUUCUUGCCCAAAUUAAUUAAAAUGAAUCUGAAUCGUCUUUAUUUUUUUCCGCCCAAAUUCAAAAUGAGUUAUAUCUUAUUAAUAUAAAUCACGUUACAGUCCAAUAUUAAUAUCAAUAUUUCAAGUUCUUAAUUAUGAUUCACUUCCUCAUUUAGCAGCACAAUAAACUUGUAUUGUCGAACAGAAAUUUACAGUAAUCACUAACAUUUCACAAAAAAAAAAAAAAGAAAUUCAAAUCUCAUAGAAAUUACAAGCUUACAUGUUAUGAAAAUCGAAUUUUAAACCAAGUAAAUGCAUGGACGGGUCCAGCCUCUUAGUUUAGUAGGGUUUUUUUUUAAAAAAAAUUCUCACAAUAAAAUAAAAAUGUGAUAAAAUAAAUUUAUAAAAUUAAAUAAUGCUCAUAUUAUUUACAAUAACAUUUUAUGAGGCUUCAUUACUUGAAUUUUUAGCAAUAAUAGCCUCAUUUUUAAUAUUUAUAAAAAUAUCAUGUUCAAUGUAAGUUACUAAUUAAACGGUGCAAAAGAGUAGAGUUAAGGUGUGGGUAGAAAUUUGAAAUAUUUAUUAGAUUUUUAAUCUAAAUUUUCAAAUUUUAACUAAACAUCACAUAUAAAUAAAUAAAAAUUAAUGAAAAAUAAUAAUAAUUAACCCUUGAAAUUUUAUGGGAUCAAUUGACCCCAAUGCUCCUAAUGUGAUCCGCGCAUGAGUAAAAUGUAUACGAUAAUAUUUUUUUGGUUAAAGUCUAACCAUUAGUAUCAAAUUUUAGCUAAUGUUCACAUACAAAAAUGUUAGUUGUAAAAGAUUUUGCUCACAUUAUUAAUAGUAGGCAUUUGUGGAAGUAAUUAUUUUUUGGCAAAAUUAAUGAUUUAAUUAUUAUAGUUGACACGUUUUACUUAAUAUACUAUCAAACUUUUAAUUUUUCAAAUUAUCCCAUUGAACUAAUUAUUAUUAUGUUAACUUUGGCUCAUGGUUGUUAAAUAUUUUCCUCUAUUAUCCGACGUGGAGGAGAAAAAAAUGACAUGGCCACGUGUAUUACUCCACCACCCACCUCAGCUCACCAAUUCAAAUUAAUUAUUGUUUUCUUCCAAAUGAUUAACCUCACCUUAUCUUAUUAGUCUAUUAAUGCAUCAAACCUUUGGAAAUAUUUCUCCGACAACGAUGCCGACGGAGAGAUCUGACGCAACCGUCGACCCAACGUUGUUGCUGAUCAACGUCGUCACAGACUAAAUAUUUUGUGGCUAUCGCUUCAUUCGUCGCCCGUCGAGCCUCAGUGGCACUGCGUGAUUCCUGCGCCAAGCCAGCAGUCGAUGGAUGUUACGGGAGCCAUCGAUGUGAGUCCACGAGUCGGAGGCACAACAAAUCGAGGAGCGACAAAGCGAUUGGGCGUACUCGCGACCGAUUGUGAUUUUCGACCUUGUUUGGAAUUUUACAUCUGCUCUCCGCCGACCUCAAAAUGUCUUUCUUUCUUCAUCUCUUUAGACUUUAAAUGAUUAUCACCCGCCAUUGACGAAACUUUGUAUUUGCUUCAAAUUUGUCUUAUUAAUCGAUAUGGGUAUCGUGAUUUUAUUUCUCUUGAGAUUCCCGAUUUGGCUUUUGGGGUUUUAGGGUUAGCUUUCAUCUGGGAUUCUAGAUUUUUUAAUUUUAUAAUUGUUAGAGGCGAUGGACUAUUUUGGUGUUGAUUGUUGAGGCUUUGAUCGAGUUGGGUGUAUCUCCUUAAAUUUAAGUUAAAGGUUUCUCUUUGAUUGUCUUUAGUAUAUCAAUUUUUAUGCUAAUUAGGCCCUCUUUUAUUGUUGAUUUUUGAAUUUUGCAAAUUAAGAAUUAGGAUUUAUUGGUAUUUGUAUUUGUAGAUGUGGAUUUAUAAAACCCUUUGAUGUAAUUGUGUUAUUCACUCUGAAUUUGUAAUCUUUCCUCAAAAUCUCACCAUGAAUCCAAAGCUUGAUUUCCUUUAAAAUCACAAAAUCCGACUAUGAAUUUGGUUAGAAAUUAAAAGUAACGUUUCAUGAAUUUUUUGGUGAUGGUCGUUUGGAAUUUGGCGUUCAUGUUGGUGUCGAUUGUGUUGUGUUGAUUAUGAGCCGGAAGAAGAAGUCGGCUAGUCCGUUAAGGCUUUGGAUUGUUGGGUAAUGUUGUUAUGGUAUGCAUUUCUGUGGAGUAUAAACAAAGGUAUUAUCAGCUAAGGUUUGAGGCGGAUGAGAGAUUGGAGGCGUCGGAGGGAAGUGGUGGUGGUGGAGUAAUCCAUGUCUAAUAGGGCCAUGUCAUUUUUUUGUUUUUUUCUUUUCUUUUUCACGUCCACGUCAGAUAAUAGGUAAAAGGAUUUAACAAUGGUGAGUCUAGAGUUAACAAAAUAGCCCAACUUAAAAAUAAUAAUUAGUUCAAUGGGGUAAUUUGAAAAUUUAAAAGUUCAGUAGUGUAUUAAGUAAAAUGUGCCAACUACAGUGACUAAAUCAUUAGUUUUGCCAUUAUUUUUUGGUAUUUGUAAUACCCCAGUCUCAUAUCAAAAUACUUGAGAAAAAUUUGUUUAUAUAUAAUUAUUAAUAACAUUAAUCAUGAUUUUUUGGGUAAGCCUAUGGUGGACUAAGAUGACCCAAUAGAAUACUAUUAGGCUAGUGUUUCAAAGUUUUGUUUGGAUGAAUUUGAUUCGGUUUGAACUUGUAAUAUUUUAAUUUGAAUCGAGAUUUAUUUUGGACUCUGAAUUUGACCUGAAUUGUUACAUAUGUUAUUAUAGUCAACUUUUGAAUGUUCGGAUCAAUUUAUUCGAUAUACAAACUUAGAUUUGACUUCAGAUUUGUUCCCAUUUUUAUAGUACUCUAAAUCUAAGGCAACAUGUUAUGGGUUAUAUUAAACUACAAAAAUGUCAAAUAUCAACUAAACUAAGUCAAGCCAGUAAUACUACCGUCGGUGUGAGGAGGAAGAUCAUCGGGCGGGCGUCGACGACGCUGCUGCUCUGGCGUAUGAAAAUCGUCAUCGACGUCGUCUCUCCGCUCGUGAUCAGAAUGAGCAUCCUGUUGAUACAAUUAAAAAUAUAACUCAUUAGUUCAUAUAUAUAAUACAAUUAAAUAUGCAAAUUAAUAAAUGAAAAUUAAAUAACAUGCAGAAUACGAAAAUUUAAAAUGAAUAGUAUAUCUGAGUAGUCAAGGACUGACUCAACAACGGUCCAAAAGCGUCCAAGAGUAAGGUAACCACCAUCCGGACCACCUCGUCGCGUAUCGCGAUGAACUGCUUCGGAGGCAUACCCGUACUCUCGGCGGUGGCACCAGCUGCGAUGUCCUAAACUAGCUAGUGGAGACGAGCACGACUGGGGAAAUAUGUCAGAAAUAGCAAAUAUAUAUGCAUUUCAAAUUUACUGAAUAUAAUAUAACCCAAAUUGAUAAUAAACAUGCAUAAUCAGUACCCAAUCCUCAAAAUCAAUUUAAUACUCAUAUACGAUUAGCAACAGGUAAUUAAUAUAGCAUCUAUGUUCACUACUACAAAACAGUAAAUAGACAACGCGGAAAAAACGUUGUGGUUUCAGUCAGAAAAACGUCGUGGUUAAGGGUGUCAUCUAUUUGACACCCUUACAUAAUGUUUUAAAAACGUUGUAGUUAAGCACAAUACACAACGUUUUUUAGGAAAAAAAAUGUUGUAGAUUUGUUUUUUAAAAAUUAGAAAAUGCUUAAAAACGUUGUAGAAGGUAUGAUUCCACAACGUUUUUUGGAUAAAAAUGUUGUUGUUUAGUAUAUCAGACAACGUUUAGGCAUAUUUACACAACGUUUUUAAAAUGUUGUAAAUUAAAAAAAAAAAAAAAAAGGUUGUUGUUCACCUACAUUACCAAUACACCUGCAAUAUAUGCUAAUGCCUGAAAGAUUAGCAUAUUGUAGCCUGAAAGAUUAAAAGAGUUGUAACUUCAAUCAUUUAUCAAAGAUUCCAAGUAAUCCAACCACACAAUUCUACAGUUUCGACAAACACCAUAAUGAAAAAUCAUAAUUGUUGCUACAUCUUUACAUACAAUAGUCGAAGACCAUAAUUGUUGUUACAAAGAAGAAGAACAUACAAUAGUCGAAGACCAUAAUUGUUGUUACAUCUUUACAUCUUCCAUAAAUUUGCACAUAUUACACCACAUCUGACACCUUUUAGCAAGGUUCUUUUGUGAGUAAGGCAUCAAAAAUCACUAGAAUUUAAGUACUACUACUACUACCACCAUUGAUAUAAAUUAGAUGUGGACAGAUUAGAGUAUUACUUGAGCAAGUAAACCAAUGAUCAAUGUUCCAAGCAAGAGGUGAAGCUGGAUCAGCAUGAUAAUAUAGAACAUUGCCAUAUUGAUCAACCCUGAAAGUUGCAGGAUCAAAGCCAACAUUCCUAAAAUUUCCAACAGUGAAAAUGAGUUAGAACUUUAAAUGAAACUUCAAUGCUAAUUAAUGAACAUGUAUAAAUAUAUUAGUAGGACAAUGAACAUGGCUAGAGAGAUUGGAGACCAGCUAAUAAUAAAAUAUAUAUGGCUAGAGAAUCUAAAGAAAUCAGUGAUAUAAUUACUGUUUAUAAACCCACAUAGACAGUCACAGCUGCCAAUUUGAAAUGCUACAUAAAGAAAUCUCCCUGCUGUAACUGAAAUAGUUUGAAAAUCAAUGCAAGUUUAUGAUGAUACUCUGUUCCAGAGUAGCAAAUGAUUGUAUUCAGUUUGCCAACCACAAAUUCCAACCACAUGUUACAGUUUGCCAAAAAGAUUACAGCUAAAGAAUUAGUAACACUGCAUAUUCCAUUUGUUCUUUUACUUGCAUCUUUUAAAGAUUCAAAUCAUACCUCUCGUGCUAAUGGAUAUUCCUCUGAUUCAAGCAUGCCAACAACUUCACCCAUCAAUACUCUCUUUUCAAAAUCUGGAUCAACACACCACAAAAUAGUCAACAAUGCUCGUUUAAGAGUAGUUCUAGCUGGCUUAGUCUCCAUUGUUGGGUCUGCCACCUCUUCUGACCGCCUAUUGCCAACCAUCAUCUUGAGCCAGCCGACCAGAUUUACCUUCAGUGAGGGACCAUGAUCACAACAAACGAGAAACAUUUGUUUAAUCAACUUACAAUUUGAUACUAAAAUUAUUAUCCCAGUCAUUGCUGCACUUAAUCAAGAGUAUUCGUUUUUCACAGAUUUACUGGUUCAUAUGAACUUGAGACAAGUUUUAAGUGAUAAAUAAAAUAUAUCAGCACAUGAUGCCCAAAACAUAAUUAAUAGCUUCAAUAACAAUUGACACUGUAAUCUCUGAGUAACUCAGUAACAUAAAAUUUGUAAUCACCAACUUUAAGUACAUUUAAGAAUUUUCUUUAGCUGCAAAAGGAAAUAGUAGAUACUUCAUCUGCUGGACGACCGUAAUCCACUGGAUCUCUUCCCGUAAUUGCUUCCAAAAGCACAACCCCGAAACUAUAAACAUCACUCUUCUUAUUUAAAAGGCCACUAUUUGCAUAUUCUGGUGCUACAUAUCUGUAAAUUUUUGGAAAGAGGUGGGUGCAGAAAGAAGAAUUGAUUAAUGUUUGGCUGUGAGAAGAGAAAGAAAUCAAUAAGUGUAGCGAGUAUGAAUUUGAAGGCAACUAUUGGAGAAGAUGCUCACCCACAGGUACCCAUAACUCUGGUAGUAAUUCUUCUUUAUGUUGUCAUAUGGAACUAGUAUUACUGUAUUACUACACAAAAGAAUUUUAUUCUAACUUCUGACAUGCUUUUAUUUGGUUUUUAGUUAUGUUCUUACAAAUUGAAUGAGAGCAUUGUAUAAAAAUAACACAACCUACCCUACUGUGUCCUGUCUCGGAGAGAAUGGGAUGACCCCAGCUCGGCUGGUCAGGCCAACAGUCGGUUUGAUGCCCACAACAGCAUUAAAGCUGGCUGGACAAAUGAUAGAACCAUCAGUCUCAGUCCCCAGUGAUACUGCCACCAUAUUUGCUGCUACAGAUAUGGCUGAUCCACUAGUUGACCCACAAGGAUCUGCUGAUAAUACAUAUGGAUUCUGAUAUGCUAUAUACCAAGACUUAAUUAUCUCCCAAAAAAAAUAAUCUUUUUCUUAUUCCAAAAUGUAACAAAAAACAUAUCAAAUGUAUAAUGUUAAACCUUACUUUUUCUUGAUUUCCCCUGGCACUCCAACCAUUAGGUGCAGCAAGUGAACGAAAAUUAGCCCAUUCACUCAAGCUAGCCUUCCCCAAUAUGAUAAAUAUUGGGUAGAAGAGUUGGCUCCAUUUGGGUAGAUCGUCCCAGAGAAAUGUCAUGCCCAUUAUCCUGGAACAAAAGAAAAACCUUUUAAUCUCCAUUCACUAAUAAAACCUAUGGCGCUCAAUAGAAUUGUCUGCAUAGUUGUCAUUAUACCCUCGCAACCCACAAUGAUGGAGACUGUGUAAAAGCUUGCCGCUGUAGUUGGCUGUGACAAAUGAGUGCACAUCAGAACGAUCAGAAACCUCAAUCCAUAAGUAUCAAGGAUAAAAAUUGUUAAUAGCCUCAUCCAACUACCUUAAAAAAAACACAGAUCAUUCCAAAUUCUCUAAUUAAGCGAACUCCUAAUGCUAUAUCAUGAUAUCAGUGCGAAAUUAAUGGCUACAGAUGCAAUUUCCUAACUACUAAUAAAACCGCACUUCCAGAUUCUUUGAGCGAGUACUUUUUUGAAGCAAUGAUAUCAUUGUGAAAAACUGUAACGCCCCCAAAUCCGAAUUGUGACGCCCCCAAAAUAGGUCCAUUCCACCCAACCCAUUCUGAGUCGCCAAAUACAUGGUACAGAAAUAACUACAACUUCAAUAAUACAAAUGUCGUGUGAAAUACGACAAUACAUACUGUGAGUUUAAAUACAGAUAUUGCCGUCUAGACAAUAUCCACACGCAAAUAANNNNNNNNNNNNNNNNNNNNNNNNNNNNNNNNNNNNNNNNNNNNNNNNNNNNNNNNNNNNNNNNNNNNNNNNNNNNNNNNNNNNNNNNNNNNNNNNNNNNNNNNNNNNNNNNNNNNNNNNNNNNNNNNNNNNNNNNNNNNNNNNNNNNNNNNNNNNNNNNNNNNNNNNNNNNNNNNNNNNNNNNNNNNNNNNNNNNNNNNNNNNNNNNNNNNNNNNNNNNNNNNNNNNNNNNNNNNNNNNNNNNNNNNNNNNNNNNNNNNNNNNNNNNNNNNNNNNNNNNNNNNNNNNNNNNNNNNNNNNNNNNNNNNNNNNNNNNNNNNNNNNNNNNNNNNNNNNNNNNNNNNNNNNNNNNNNNNNNNNNNNNNNNNNNNNNNNNNNNNNNNNNNNNNNNNNNNNNNNNNNNNNNNNNNNNNNNNNNNNNNNNNNNNNNNNNNNNNNNNNNNNNNNNNNNNNNNNNNNNNNNNNNNNNNNNNNNNNNNNNNNNNNNNNNNNNNNNNNNNNNNNNNNNNNNNNNNNNNNNNNNNNNNNNNNNNNNNNNNNNNNNNNNNNNNNNNNNNNNNNNNNNNNNNNNNNNNNNNNNNNNNNNNNNNNNNNNNNNNNNNNNNNNNNNNNNNNNNNNNNNNNNNNNNNNNNNNNNNNNNNNNNNNNNNNNNNNNNNNNNNNNNNNNNNNNNNNNNNNNNNNNNNNNNNNNNNNNNNNNNNNNNNNNNNNNNNNNNNNNNNNNNNNNNNNNNNNNNNNNNNNNNNNNNNNNNNNNNNNNNNNNNNNNNNNNNNNNNNNNNNNNNNNNNNNNNNNNNNNNNNNNNNNNNNNNNNNNNNNNNNNNNNNNNNNNNNNNNNNNNNNNNNNNNNNNNNNNNNNNNNNNNNNNNNNNNNNNNNNNNNNNNNNNNNNNNNNNNNNNNNNNNNNNNNNNNNNNNNNNNNNNNNNNNNNNNNNNNNNNNNNNNNNNNNNNNNNNNNNNNNNNNNNNNNNNNNNNNNNNNNNNNNNNNNNNNNNNNNNNNNNNNNNNNNNNNNNNNNNNNNNNNNNNNNNNNNNNNNNNNNNNNNNNNNNNNNNNNNNNNNNNNNNNNNNNNNNNNNNNNNNNNNNNNNNNNNNNNNNNNNNNNNNNNNNNNNNNNNNNNNNNNNNNNNNNNNNNNNNNNNNNNNNNNNNNNNNNNNNNNNNNNNNNNNNNNNNNNNNNNNNNNNNNNNNNNNNNNNNNNNNNNNNNNNNNNNNNNNNNNNNNNNNNNNNNNNNNNNNNNNNNNNNNNNNNNNNNNNNNNNNNNNNNNNNNNNNNNNNNNNNNNNNNNNNNNNNNNNNNNNNNNNNNNNNNNNNNNNNNNNNNNNNNNNNNNNNNNNNNNNNNNNNNNNNNNNNNNNNNNNNNNNNNNNNNNNNNNNNNNNNNNNNNNNNNNNNNNNNNNNNNNNNNNNNNNNNNNNNNNNNNNNNNNNNNNNNNNNNNNNNNNNNNNNNNNNNNNNNNNNNNNNNNNNNNNNNNNNNNNNNNNNNNNNNNNNNNNNNNNNNNNNNNNNNNNNNNNNNNNNNNNNNNNNNNNNNNNNNNNNNNNNNNNNNNNNNNNNNNNNNNNNNNNNNNNNNNNNNNNNNNNNNNNNNNNNNNNNNNNNNNNNNNNNNNNNNNNNNNNNNNNNNNNNNNNNNNNNNNNNNNNNNNNNNNNNNNNNNNNNNNNNNNNNNNNNNNNNNNNNNNNNNNNNNNNNNNNNNNNNNNNNNNNNNNNNNNNNNNNNNNNNNNNNNNNNNNNNNNNNNNNNNNNNNNNNNNNNNNNNNNNNNNNNNNNNNNNNNNNNNNNNNNNNNNNNNNNNNNNNNNNNNNNNNNNNNNNNNNNNNNNNNNNNNNNNNNNNNNNNNNNNNNNNNNNNNNNNNNNNNNNNNNNNNNNNNNNNNNNNNNNNNNNNNNNNNNNNNNNNNNNNNNNNNNNNNNNNNNNNNNNNNNNNNNNNNNNNNNNNNNNNNNNNNNNNNNNNNNNNNNNNNNNNNNNNNNNNNNNNNNNNNNNNNNNNNNNNNNNNNNNNNNNNNNNNNNNNNNNNNNNNNNNNNNNNNNNNNNNNNNNNNNNNNNNNNNNNNNNNNNNNNNNNNNNNNNNNNNNNNNNNNNNNNNNNNNNNNNNNNNNNNNNNNNNNNNNNNNNNNAUCCCUUGAACCUCGAACCUGGUGCAUUACUAUACAACCUUCAUAUGAAUAUUUAUAAUCUUUAUUCAUAAAAUAAUGAAUACAAUCUCACUUUGAUGCCAAUUAAUAAAUUAAUUCCUUCUAUUUCCAGGAUCCGCAACCUUUACAUCCCGGUGUUACACUUUCAAAGCAUAUUGAUUCAAAUUAUACAUUUCAAGUUAUAAAUAAUCUUUUUCACUUGGAUAUAUUGAUUGUAAUUAUUCAUGAACUCACAACUAGACUUAACUAUACUUUUAUACAAUGUUCUUUGACUGUGCAAUUACAAUAUGUCAUUUGAACGCUACCUAGCAUAGCUAGAGCUUUUCGAACAACUUCAAUAAGUACUUCUUCCUCUUUCCUUUGUCUAUCCCAAAUCCUUCGAUCCGCUUUGGUUUAGCUGAAAACAAUUAUUUAUAGCAAGGGUGAGCAACUACGUUGCCCAACAAGUUUAACAGUUAUCGCAUAACACAUAGUUCGCAUUUUAAACACAACUUAAAUAAUUCAAACUUCGCAGUUUAUACAUAAAUUCAUGUUUUUCAUACAUUGCAUUUAUUCAGGCAUCAUAAUGCUCAUACUCAGCAAUUAUACCUACUUCACGCUUAUCAUGUUCCUCAUAUCAUGAAUAUAAUAAGUUUCCAUAACUCAGUCCACAUCAAUCAUUAAUUUGAUUCAAUAGAUUUAUAUCACAGUAUAGCGCAUCUCAAUUUAUUCACAAGGAGUACAUAUAAUACAUGGAGUAUGUACACAUUACAAUUAACAAGUUCACAUAUAAAAACAAGUUCUGAAAAACUUGCCUGUACCGGAGUUUUACCAUUACACCAACUUUUGCGUUCCUUGCACAACCUACAUUAUAUGUGGGAUUGAUAACAAAACACAUUAUCAGUCAAAGUUUGACUAUUAGUGUGAUCCUUAUCUUAACUUAUUAUCUUCCGUGUAUCCUUUUUAUAUCUAAUAAUAUAGACUUUCAACUUCAUUAUUUAUAUAGCUCGAUUUUAUUUCCCUUUUAUCACCACAUGUGCUAGCUUAUCGCACUUGUAGUUUACGUACUGUGUGUGUAUCACACCAUUACAACAUAUCAUACUUGGUUAAACAUUUCUCAUCUAGGUUCCUUAGACUUAGAUUAUGCGGAAAGCAUUCGUUCAUCACUUUGUAACCAUUCACUUAAUAGUACCUUACAUUAAUCUUGUAAUGUGUCUAUCCCAGUUAACAAAAUAAUAAAAAUUUCCAAGUUCCACUUUCACACUUUUUGGGUUGUCCAAAAAAUGUUACGCAACGAUUACAUAUUUGGACUCUACACGAAAAACUGAGCAACAUAUAAAAAAAUUACAUGACGCCCAAAAAUUGACUCGGCGAACCAAAAUGGCUUGGCAUGCCAAAAACAGCACAACCAUUGCCCAGACAGCCCACACACUGCCCAGACUGCAGAACAAAAUCUGGAAAUUUUAGAUUUUGUGAUUUUCGGGCUAGUUUUACGAAUUUUUAUCUCACUCGUUAUACAUCGGAUUAAAGCCAUUUUCGGAUAUGUUCUACCUCAUACUACGUAGUAUUUUUAAAAAAUAUAACAUUCAUGAAAAGAGUUUGGAAAGGCUUCGAAACAGUGGCCUGAAACAGCCCAUACACAGCAGUUUCAGACUUAAAAAAAUUCAUGGUUUCUGCAGUUUCAGUGAUUUUCUAUGCUACUUUGGGAAUUUUUAUGAAUUUUUGUAUUAGGCUUUUAGCUUGUAGAUCUGGACAUGCUUAUAGAACAUAUAUCAAACUAUUUUUCUACUGGUUUAGGUCAUUAAGCAAGCAACUUAAGCUUCCUCAAACUGAUGCCCAAACAAGGCUACUCACCACAGUUUUUUAGUAUUCUUAACUUUGGUCAAUUCUUGCCAAACUCAUUUCUGGCCACUUGGGCUCAUUCCAACACUUGAGUUACUACUAGUUAAGACUAUUUUUAGCAUUCCCCUGACCUUGCUAUGCAUAGAUAUGGUUUUGACCCUCUAAACCUAACAUUUUCAAGCUUUAACCUACUAAUUUCUCAUUCUCUUAUAUAAAUUAGCAUUCCAACACUUGGAAUGGUCUAAUAUACUUUUAACUCACUUUCUUAAGAUGUUAAAACUAAUCUUUAAGCAAAAUGGCAAAAUCUCAAAUUUCCAUACUUAGAAAAAUCUGCAGAAAACUGCAGUUUACAUGAUUUUCUUAGCUUGUUUGGUGAUUUUUAUGAAUUUCUUGGUUAAGCUAUUGGCUCAACCACUUGGCCCUGCUUCUAGAUCAUACUUCAAGGUAUUUUAAUCAAGUUUUAGGUUUCUUAUUCAUUUCAUUUAAGCUUCUCAAAACAGUGCCUCAAACUGGCCUGUUUUCUAACUUUUUGCAAAAACUGUUAUUAACACUUUUAUCAUUUUUCUCCAGUUUUGGCUACUUGGAUAGUCUAGACAUGUGUAUUUUAGUUAGUUAAGGACACUUUUAGCAUCACCACACUUUAUUUAAUCAUCUAGCCAACUUUGACCUAUCUAAGCUUACUUUAGGCUUGAAAAAACUUGGUCUUCUUACUAGCUUUGGUCAUGGCAAUGAUUGGUAACCAUUAUAAGCAUCCAUUAGCAUCUUUAUAUGAGUGUAUUACAGUCCUUUAAGUUCAGGUAUUAAAAAUUACACAAAACAGUCCACUUUUGGGCUUAAAAUGUGAUUUUUCACAAGUCUAAUGCUCAAAACAGCUUAGGCUUGGUUUCUUUAGCUUGUGUAGCUUACUUAUGCCAUAUUAUAACUAUUGAAACUUGCCUAUAUGGUCCAGGUAUGGUGGUUCUUCACUUAGGUGCUAAUUUCUAUUUUAAAGCUUACUUUCAUUGGUUUUUAGAUAUGAAUUUGAACCACACAUAACAUAGACCUUAAUUAAAUUAAGGAACACCUUUUAAAUACCCCUUAUGGACAUUUCAUGGUCUCUUUACUGACUCAUAAGUUCAGGUACUGAACUUGACCAAAACAGUCCCCAAAUUUGGAUUUUUAGCACAGUUUUGCCUAUUAAAUAUUAAACAGUUCCAUAACAAGACUAAGGGAACUUCUAGGCAUUCAAAUAAACUUCACACAUCAUUAAAACUUAUCACCAUGAACCUUAAUAAGCUUGCACAGUCAGUCUAAUAUCUGACACCAAAACAGUGCACACACACAAGGCACUUUAGGCAUGGUUUUAACACCUCAAGUUCAGGUUCUGGCCUUUUAAUUCAUUGAGACACAUGUAUUUUGAUCACAUGAGACUUAUUAUUUCAUAACCUUGCCUUGUAUAAUAGCUUAGCAUAUUUUUGGCUUUUAAAACUUACUUUACAUAGCAUAUACACAUGAAGCUCUACAAGUUUGCUAGCUUAUGACUUUGCUGCACUUUUGCUACCAUUUCUGGCAUAUUUUUAUGCCACAAUAUAAGCUUCUAUCUAUCUAAUAUGGCCAGGUUUAAUAGAUUGCCAUAGCAGUCCCAAACUUAGAAUGUUAAGCAUGGAUUUGGCAUGGUAACUCAAAACAGCCUCAAGUUUAGUUAAGAUGAAUGUUGAAGCACCUUUAGAACAUGUAAUUGUGAAGAGAGAUGCAUUCACGGCUGGAGUUUAAUCAAUUCUUAGCUAACACAAAACAGCCCUCUUUUUACUUAAGUUUUAAGCUUGAAACCUCUUAGCUUUUCAAGUUAAGCAUAUCCAUUCUCCUUUUAGCAUAUAAGCAUAUACAUGGGAUUAUUAUCUUAGUAUAUGACAUGGUUUUGGACUUUGUUUGCAUAGCUAACAUGCCUUUAGCACAUAGCAGUCAACAUUUAGGCAUUUUAUCAAACAUGUAGAGUGCAGUCCAUAUAUAUACAUAUAGUACAUAUAUUUCUAGCUCUUUGACCCCAGCCUUAUGGCUUUAAUUUACCUAGCAUGACAAAAACAAAUCAUAGCCACAAUUAGGCCUUAUGGCAGUUAACAUAUCAACAAGAAAUUUAGAAUAUCUAUCAUUAUAAUAGUAAACAGCCUUGUAUGGCCAUUCCAGUUUCUCUUCAAAAUUGAAGUGGGAAUGAAAUGAAUAAGGAUCUAAAUUAACUCACCCUUGAUAACUUGAUGAUUGGGUUGGCUUUGUUGCUGAUAAUCUCCUCCCUCUCCAACUGGAAUCACUUUCUCUUCUUCACUAAAUAUGCUUUUGGAGCUCAAAUAAGUGGUGUAACCAUCUGAACUUGGGUGAAACAUUGGGGUUAUAUGGUUCAGUUUUCUAUCUUCAGUCAGUCACCUUCCUGACCACUUAUAAGCUUGGCCCCUAUUCUUCUCCAUCAUUACCCUACCCGGUAUUAGCUUCAAUUCAGCCCCUCUAACUUGCCUCCUAUCAGUCUACUCAUAGCAGUUAGUUGGCCCCUAUAACUACCUGACACCCUUGGUCUUCGCAGUGUACUUGACCCCUAAUAGCCAACCUAUGCACUCUAGGUUCCAACUAACUUGCUAACCACUUGCUAAUUGACUAAACUAGUAAUUAGCUUCUAACUGGCAGCUCAUUUUAACUAACUAAUUGGCUGACUAAUGUUUUAACUAACUGAAUUGCCAAAGCCAUCUAUUGCUAUUUAAAUAACACUAAAACAGCCCCCUUUGCUAUCCCCGUGAGGCUGCUGAAUUGAAUUAGCAACAUGGCUGAGCAUAGUUUUAUAUUUGGGCUCAAAAAUAGUCUCCUUAUGACACACAAUGAGGCUGCUGAAUUGAACAUACGAAAGGGGCAGAGCAUGGCUUUAGAUUGGGCCUAAUGAACUAUUUUAAUCCUAGCAAAAGUCCAUAACUCUAGAAAAUAAUAGAGAAGGCUUGUAAGCAUAUAUAAUAAAAUUAAGUUGGCCAAAUUUAUAUAACUUGGACUCUCAUUACAUAUUUUUAAGUAAGGCAAGGGUCCAUAAUAUCAUAAUUGAUGUAGUACAUUUGCAAGUAUACAUAGCUAAUUUAACGUGGUCCAAUAUUUAAACAUGGACUCACAUUACACAUUAAUACGCAAGGUUUUUUUUUUAUCUACUAUAUUUAUUUAGGCUUGGCAAACCUAGUUAGCACAUACAUCCUUAAAAUGAUGGCUCUAUGAAAUUUACAUACCCAUGGUAGCACACCAAUUUCCUUAUUUUCCCACUAAAUAAUACUUUUGAAUGAAAUUAAUUAUAUUAUAAUAUAAUUAUUUCAUUGAUCUCAUAGGUAGAUUUUAUAUUAAAAGUCGCUUCCCAAUAAUUUUAUACCCUAUAGGCAUAAAAAAAAUAAAUUAAUCCACUCUUUUCACAUUUCCAUUAUUAAUAAUUAGGUUAAAUCUCUAACCUUUAUUUAAUCAAUUAAUAUUUCCCUUAAAAGAAAUAUUACUAAUAUUCGGGAUAUCACAAAAACAAGCGUACGAAAACUGUGCUUUCACUUGUUACCUAAUUUUACACCUCACUCAAGUCAUAAAGAAGGAGAGUAGGAGCACAAAAAAGCAAUAAAACACACAGAAAACAGAAGCAUAAUUCAAGACCAUGUUAUAAAAUAUCAUACCAGGCCUGAAAAACACUGAAAGCCCAAAAUCAUAAUACACAGCUAAUACAGAUUAAUUUCCAGAAGUCCCAAAUCAUAAUACACAGUAUUACAAAGCUCUAAUUUCUUAUGCUUCAAAUAUUUCUUAACAGCUAAACUGGCAUCCUGCAAGUGCAUAUGAGCAUUUGCACAUCAAGGUUGGGUGGCGAUGUUGCCAAAGCUAAUAUACCUUUAAAUUCAAUAAAAAAAAUUAUAAAUUUUAUAGGAAGAUAUAAUAGAUACAGAAUAAAAAUUACUGACCAUUUUCCUUCUUAAUACCUUCUCUCCGGCGCUUCUGAUUCCUGGCCCAAUCAGCAAGACUCUGACAACCUUCACCAUCGGAGCGGGUCUCCGAGGACUCGGCAAUAAUCUCGAUCUGUAGAGUCCGGUCGGAGAAGUUACUAUCGUUGAAGACGAAUCCAAAAUCACCGUCAUGGCCACCUUCCGACAAGUAGUCGGAGUCCAUCACCGACGAUCGAGGAUCAAAUAGCUUCCAAACUCGAAUUCUUCAUUCCUAGCUCAAAAUCUCUCACUCACUACAAACAAAGAACACAGAAUUAUAAAACCCUAGAAAAAAUAUAAGCUCUGUGGCGUUGUGGUGAAGAGGAUGUAAUGACACGAAGGAGACUGAGAGUGAACCGGUAAAUGUAGUAACUGAGAAGGAAACGAUUGUACCGCCAUUUUCGUCAAAGAGAAACUAGGGUUUUAGUUUUGUGAGCGGCUCCGCGUUUUAAUUUUAUUCUUUCACAUGGGCGCGGUUUUUAGCUCGUAUUUUUUAGAUAGACAACCUUUUAAAAAAACCGUUAUCUAGUUAAAAUUAAAAAAAUAUUCUUUUAAAUAGAUAACGUUUUUGUAUAUAUAUUUACAAUGUUUUUUUUCAAAACGUUGUGAAAAAAAAUACCACAAUAUUUUUAUAAAAAACGUUAUAAUUUAAGUGUUGUCUAUUUAUUGUUUUGUAGUAGUGGUUGCAAUUGAAACUCAAAAUCAAAGUCAAAUACUUCAGUGAACCUCAACAUUGAUAAAACACAAAUUUUGGAAAUUAAACUACAAAUCGAUGGAAACUAGUAAUUGAUCAGUACCCACAAUCUAGCAUGGAUUAAUUACCCACUGCAUAAACAAUAUCAAAAACAUCAACCCAAAUCCUAAACUUAUACUGACAACACAAUGAUCAAAAAUUACUCACAACAUCAAAAAUUACCUAAAAUUAUACUGAACAACUACCCACAACAUCAACAAUCUAACAUGGAAUCAAUAGUAAAACCUAACCUUAAUUACUUUGGAGAACCCAAAGUAUACAUAAAGACAAGAGGAGCUGAGGAUGACGACGGCGGGUAGAAGGGCGCCGGCGGGAGGAAGACGUCGACCUGAGGAGGAGGAUGACGGAGGAAGGGUGAGGAGAGCGAUAGCAAAAAAGAGAGGUUGGUUGGUUGGUUGGUUCGGAGAAAGAAAAAUAAAAUUUGGGAACAAAUGUCUGUGGCGGCACAGACUGAAAGCGAUAAGGUUUUAACCUUUAUUUUCGACGAAAUUUAGUCGACAUUAAUUCCCUCGGAAAUUUUGUCGGACAUAAUCGACUUUUCGUUGAGAUUGUGUUCGACGCUGGCGGGAAAUCUAGCGCCAAUGGAAGGCUGUUAUCUCUGACAGAAUUCCGUCGAGAAUAUGUUAGUUACGACAGAAGUAAUUACAACCGAAUAUUCGGUCGAAAAUAACAUGAAGUGAUUGGAUGUAACAUUCACUAUCCCUAGUGUGGUUAACCAACUAAUAUUUAAAAAUAUUUUAAUAUAUCCACUAAAUAUAAAUUUAUAUUUUAUAAUUUUACUUAACUUGAUCUAAUUAAUUAAAUCAUGAAUUUGUGCAAUAAAUAACAUAAAUGUCAAAGAUAAUAAAUAUUUAUUUUAUCAAAAAAAAUAGAGAUACACUUUUUGCAAAUUAAAUUUCUUAAACAUUAAAAUUUAUGUAAUAUACAUUCAAAUAUAUUUUUUGUAAUUAAUAAGUAAAAUUUUAAUAAACAUAAAAGUAUAAAUUAACGCAAAAAAAUAUAAUUAUUUUUCCCAAAUUUUAAAAUUUACGUAAAAUAAACUUAUUAUUACAUAACGAAUCUUAUUAUCAUAUAAAAAAGUAUUAAAAAUUAUAUUAAUUAUUUUUCUCAAAUGUUAAACUAAACAUAAGUCACUCUUAAGCAUAAUUAUUUACAAUAAAAAUGACAAAUGUUAUUACUCAAAAAAAGAAAAAAUACAGUAAAAAAUUCUUUUAAUAAUAUAGAGGUCGUAAUAAAUAUUAUUAUAUUUUCUUUUAUUCAAUAUUGUAUAAAAACAACACCAACUGUAUACUAAAAAAUAUAAUUAAAAUCAUAAACAUCCCAAAUUUUUACAUAUACUCGAGAAAAUUUAGCAUAUAAAAAUUAUAAUAUGAAACUAAGAAUUCAAAUAAUAAUUUUUGUUGUUAAACACCAAAAACUAAAUUAUCAACAUACUUAUCACUUUAAUUAGAAAACCUCCAUUAAUAAUUUAAUUUAAAAUUCUUAAUAUUUGUAUCACUUAUCCAAAAAUAUGUGUUAAUUAAAUUAAAUUAUUUGAAUUAGAUAAUCUUAAUUACAAAUAAAACUACAAUUAAAAUGAAUUGUAUUAAAAAAAGAAUAAUUAAACAUAUAUAUAUAUAUAUAUAUUAUUUAGAAAAUAAAAUUUGAUCACAUACAAGGAUAUACAUAUAAUUUUAUCUAUUUAGUCAAUCUUAAAAAUUUGUAAGGGUGCUAACUAUUACUUAAAAAACUAGAGGGGAUGUGAGUGUUAUUAUGGCUAUUUAAAAGGGAUGUCACUGUAUUUUACUUUUAUAAUUUUAUAUUAUAUUUUAUUUAUAAAUGAAAUAACAAAUUUUAUUCUUAAGAAAUUAUGCAAUAAGACUCUUUUAUAUAGGACAAAUGGGGUAACUUUUUGAGAAAAUGUUAUUUUCGUGUGAUUUCUCCUACAUAUUAAUAGAAAAUGAGUUCUACAUUCGUUGGAAAAGCAUGAAAAAAUAUCUUGUAUAAUUCUUAACAACUUUUUUCACAUAUAGGCUUCACGCAGGUCAGGUGUAUAAUAGGACAUCAGGAGAAUAGGAUUAAAACUGUAAAAAGUUAUUUUAAAUGGUUACCGGGGCGGCGUCAACAGUGAAAGCGAAAAGACACAUAGGUAAGGCCCCCCUCGCCACUGGCCAAAAGAAAAGUAACCCAAGGACCGUACACUCCCGACUCUAUUGGGGUAAUUAAGUGCGGAUAUUUGUGCAAGAACCAACCUUGUCUCAUACCCGCCAGAUAAUAACGGACGCGCAGGUCCUCCCACCAAUCACGACUCGACAACGCAUCCUUAAAAACCAACCUGGUUUUCCCCAAAACCGCCUGUCGCCGUACAAGGAUUCUAAAAUAUUUACUCCCUCGCCUGGUUUCUUCCUUUAAUAUAUAUAUCCCAUCGAGGUAGUAUAUGGUACUUACAUGUAUAUAAUUUUACCUGCCUUGUUUUUACGCUUGUACAACUUUUAUGGGACAGCAUAUAUGUUUUCAUCCGACCAUACUAUAAAGGAAUUUUAUCUUCUUCAGAUGGAAACACAACCACAAACCCACUAAUUUCUCUCUCAUCUCAUUCAAGUAAUAAAUUUUUUAAAAAAAUAUAUACUACAUUUCCAUUUUUUUUCUUUUUUGCCGAGUACAUUUCCAUUUCCCUCCUUCUUAUAUAUACAUGUAUAUAUAUAUAUAUAUAUAUAUAUUUAUAGUACUCUCUGUGCAAAAGCUCCAAGGGGUUUUGUUUCUAUAUCUAUCGAUCUUGCUUGGUAUUUUCUUGAAAAUAAUUUCCACUAUCUUGAAAAUAAUUAAUUAAUCAAGAAGAAGUGAAAUAAAGAUGGGUAGAGGAAAGGUGCAGUUGAGGAGGAUAGAGAACAAGAUAAACAGACAGGUAACAUUCACCAAGAGGAGAGGUGGGCUUUUGAAGAAAGCCCAUGAGAUCUCUGUUCUUUGUGAUGCUGAGGUCGCCCUUAUCGUCUUCUCCACCAAAGGCAAGCUCUUUCAGUAUUCCACCGAUUCAUCGUACGUUCCUUCCUUCUUUAACAUCCUACCUAAUUUAACAUAUAUAAUUAAUUAAUAAUAUAGCUAACUACGAUUGGCAACCCUCGGUCUUUACUGUUUGUUUUAUAGACGUCUCUUUUUUAAUAUAGUCACGAAUUCAGGUUAUCUUAAUUAGAUUUGUUUAAUAUGGAAGUGAUUAGCAUGGAGUUUAUUUUUGAGUAAGUUGGUCAAUUAAUUGAUCAAUAGAGUGCUGACAUGCAGGCGAGACUCUGUGUGUGUAUCAGCAUUUUCUUGGUCAAUUGACCAACUUAUCAAAAAAUAAAUUUCAUAACCGUCGCCAUAGAGUCUGAACCGUCGUCAUAACUCAGAACCGUCGUUAUAGCUCGGUUUAGACCAUAUGACGAUGGGUUUAGCGACGAUUUUGUUUAUGGUUAAAGGUGGUCCACAUGCGUAUCACCCACAUAGGAAGCAUAUAUAUAUAUAUAUAUAUAUAUGAAAAUGAUCCAUGAAAAAUGUUAAUUUUGAGCAAUGUUUCAACUAAUUGUUAUCCAGCCGUCCAAAAUUAGAGUUAAUGGUUGAGAUGAGGGUCCAACCGCUACUUUGGCCGCUACUCCCUCUAGAGUAGCGGCCAGUCAAAACGACCGUAUUUUGGCUGACUGCUAGAGAGAGUAGUGGCCAAUAUAAAAGAAUUUGACUUAAUUAUUGAUUAUUCUAAUUACUGAUUAUCAUUAUACAUACUACUUAUUAAUCAGUAAAAUAAAAUAAUAAAAAAUUAUAAGGAUAUCAGUAAUUAUCCUUAUACUUUUCCUUAAAAUACGUAUUUAUAAGGAUAAUUAAUUAUUAUCGUCUUAUAAUUUUUAAUUAUAAAUAGAAAAUAGUGAUUGAAUUUAUAUUAUAUUCUUACUCAAAUAAUUAUCCUUAUUAGCAAUCAUUAUUUCUCAUUUAUAAUUAAAAAUCAUAAGACGAUAAUCAAUAAGUAUCCUUAUACAUACUUAUUUUAUUAAUAAGUAUAAGUAUAAGGAUAUUUACUGAUUAUUUUAUUUUACUGAUUAAUAAGUAGUAUGUAUAAGGAUAAUCAGUAAUUAAGCCAAAUUUUUUAUGUUGGCCGCUACUCUCUCUAGCGGCCAGUUAAAACACGGUCGUUUUGAUUGGCCGUUAAAGGGAGUAGCGGCCAACAUAAAAAAAUUUGGCUGACCGCUAGAUUGAAUAGCGGUUAGGCCCUUAUCUCAGCUAUUCACCCUAAUUUUAGACGGCUGAAUAACAGUUAGUUGAAAUAGUACCCAGAACUAACGUUUUCUAUAGAUCAUUAUAUAUAUAUAUAUAUAUAUAUAUAUAUAUAUAUAUAUAUAUAAGUGAGUUGCACUGGUAACUUCUACGCAUAAAUUCCCAAGUCUAAAUAUUUCAGCAAUCAUAAAAAAUAAUUAGCAUAUGACAGCGUUCAACAAAAAGUUUAACANNNNNNNNNNNNNNNNNNNNNNNNNNNNNNNNNNNNNNNNNNNNNNNNNNNNNNNNNNNNNNNNNNNNNNNNNNNNNNNNNNNNNNNNNNNNNNNNNNNNUAAAAACAACCCUUUUUAAAAUAUUGUAUUCACCCAAAAAAAGUAAAAAUAAAUAAUAAAAAGUAUAAGAUGUAUCCAAAAGAAUUUCAACUACAACAAAAUAUAUGAUAAUACAUAGAAAGAUACUUCUAGUAUUUCUAAAGCUAAAAUCUUCAAUCAAAUGUUCAAAAUCAUAUAUAUAUAUAUAUAUUGGGGUCUCGAUCUCUGAUCGGGGUCAGAGCGAUCGAUCAUCCCGUCCGUGUUCAGGAACGACUCUGUUCGUAGGUGUGUAAAUGAACUGAGUUGCACAGAGAUUUAGUUCAUAAAAUUUAUAGAGUUUGAAAUAGUUUAUAAAAUUUAUAGAGUUUGAAAUAAGGUUGAUUCAUUUAGCCUCAUUACAGUUUAAACUAUUCGAACGAAUAUGAUUCGAGUAUUAACAGAAAAUUAUAAUUUGAAAAGGCUCAAGUAAUUUGUCUAAUUUUAAAAUUUAUUUAUAUUUGAAUUACUCAAACGGGUACGAAUCAAGCUUGAAUCGUUUGGUUCAUUUUAUAGCCUUACUGCUUUGUACUUAUAUAUAUAUAUAUAUAUAUAUAUAUAUAUGUAUAUAUAUAUAUAUAUAUAAUUGAUCUAAAUCAUAAUUCCUAAAUAACAUAUCACUUUUAAAUAUCAUACAUUUAUUAAAAUUACGUCGUUUUAAAGAUUCUUUUAAAAAAUAAAAUAAUAUUAACUGACAAUUAGUCGGUAGUUCUUAUAUUCACUAUCAGUCGGUAGUUCUUAUAUUCCCUUCUUUGGUUUUAUGUUUCCCAGUUUUGGGACAAUUAACUGACAACCAUAUCAGUUCAAAGGCACUUUUAAGUUAUUGAAAGUGACAUUCAUACCAUUCACAAGAAUAUAUAAUCCUUGAGAAUAUUGUACUCCAUGUAUAUCACCAGAAUAAAAUUUACUUCCAUUCCAUUUGGGUUGCACAUCUUUUUCUUUAUAUUUUCACGAGUAUAUAUGUAUCUUUCACUUUUACUAAGAAGAAUUUUGUUGGAUUUUGGUGGGACUUGCUUGGGGUAUGGCCAUAUGGGUAUGACACCAAGGUGGGGUCCAAAACCAUUGAACUCAAGUUUAAGAGCAAUAUAUUGUGUAACAUAUAUGUCUUAUCAGUUCUAUUGCUUUUGAUGUAUUUGUCGGUUUCUUGUACAGUAGCAUAUUCACCCAUUACUGAUUUCUCGGCAAAUUUAGGUCAUGUUUAUAGGAAUCAUUAAAUUGUUAGGUUAACAGAACAAAGAUUUUGGAUAGUAAUUUAGUUUAUGCUAAGGUCAAACAUUGAAAGGAAGCUUAACUUAAUAUCUGUAACCUAAUUCAUAAUUUUAAUUCUUUGUUUGCAGCAUGGAGAAUAUCCUUGAACGAUACGAAAGAUAUUCUUAUGCAGAAAGGCAGCUAGUUGCAAAUGACACUAAUGAUUCAACUGUAUGUUUAAAAGAUUCCAGUGAUACGAUUCGAAGCAACGUUCUUAGUUUUCUUGUUUACAAUUAGGGUUAGUCAGUCAUUAAAAUGGUGCGUGGCCAUAUCCAAUAUAACCUUCUUCUUUUUUUCUUUUCUUUUUUCUGGUAUUGUGUUUUUAUUAAGCAGAGAAACUGGACCCUUGAGUACUCCAAACUCAAGGCUAGGAUUGAGCUUUUACAAAGAAACCAUAGGUAACAAUCUGUCGAAUUAUAAUUCAAGUAUGAGAAAAUUAAUACAAGCUUUAAAUGACAUCAUCCAUUUCAUAAUUUGUGUGAAAAUUAAUCUUCUCAGGCAAUAUAUGGGAGAGGAUCUCGACUCCUUGAAUCUAAAAGAGAUGCAGAAUUUGGAGCAGCAGCUUGAUACUGCUCUGAAACACAUUCGAUCUCGAAAAGUAUGCCCUAAUAUUAUUUUUUUCUGUAAUACGCAGUUGGCUAUUUCUAAAGGCUGGCUUUCGUUAGUUGACAAAUGUUAAUAUAUACAUAAAUCUUCUCUUGCAGAACCAACUCAUGGAUGAAUCCAUCUCUGAGCUUCAGAAAAAGGUGAGGCGCUUUUUCUCUAUUGACGCAGCGCGCUGGUGGGAGAAUGAAUGGGUAGGUAAAAAAAUAAGAAAGAGAGGUGGGUCCACUAACUCGUUGUGCUUAGAGUGACCUGAAAACCCAAGUGGUUAGUCUCUUAGUACCACUCUACUAGUUGUAGAGAACUAAGAAACUCAACAAAACAAUAUUACAAAAAGAGAAAGGCACACAAGAGAAUAAUACUCUUCUUUGAUUACAUUUCAGAAUACCCUCCCCUUUGCUUUACAAACUCACUAUUUAUAGAGGCUUGGAACAUUCUACCAGCCGUAGAUUGUACAUGAAUAACUAUUGAUUAGAAAUAUUAGUUAGACUAGAAUAUUAAAGACUAGAUGCAAUUAAUGGAGACUUUAGAAUACUUAACCAUACAAUCGUAUCUUCCAAAAUACUAAUCUUUGGCGUCGCAUCUCUUCAUGUUCUGUGGGACUCAUCUUAUAGUGCGGUUUGUUUGGAAGGCUUGAACCCAGCACCAAAUCAAUUUGAUGUUGAAUAGUCCUCAAAGGAGGUAAACUCGCCGGAAGGUCAUUAGGAAACACAUCUUCAAAUUCUUUUAAUAAAUGUCUAAUUUGCUCAGGAAAUGAGUUACUUCAAAUUAUUUCUUCCUUCCCAAUCAACACAUAAUCCAGAUCAGAAUGCUCCAUUUCUCCGGCAAACUCACGAAAAUUAAGAAGGUUAGAACCUCUUCCAUUAACUGGCUUAAACAAGAUAUCCUUUGAUGGUGCAAGAACAAUUCUCUUGUUGUUCCACGAAAAACUAUAAGUAUUCUUACCAUCGACCAUCGUGAUGUACAUCUGGAUCAUAUUGCCAAGGUCUUCCCAAGAGAAGAUGACAAACAUCCAUAUUCACAACGUCACACCACACCCUGUCUUUGUAUUUGCUUGCAAUGGAAAAGUUCACCAGACAACGUUUAGAUACCUUUACUUCACUUCCUUUCUUUAGCUAAGAAAGUUGGUAAGAGUUCGGGUGUGGACUUGUUUCCAAUUUGAGCUUUUCCACUACUUCGUCUGCCACCACGUUCUCGCAACUUCCAGCAUCGAUAAUGAGCUUAAUUACAUAUUUUUACUCCAAUGGUGCAAGAGGUGUGAAAUAUGUUAUUGCGCAGCCACCUAUCAUUGUCUUCAAAUCGAGGUGAGAAACAAGCCCUUUUGAUAAUUAAGGCUUCACCUUGAUCCCCAUGAAACACUUCUUCUUUAUUGUGAUUCUCAUAAUCAUCAUAAACUACUUCUUGAUUGAUGUCGAAUCAUCAUCUACAUCUUCAUUAUCAACAAAUAAAUUCUUACCAGCACGGUCCGACUUUUGACAUUCACUAGCCUUAUGCCCAAAUUCUCCACAUUUGUGACAUCGACCCGCAAAGGUAGAGGUCUUAGCACUCGUAUCGCCUGGUGUACGUAGUUUUAAAAACAUUAGUAGUGGGGACACCUUUUGAAGACGCUUUAGGGGCUAUUAUGGAAGAACUCCAAUUGGGACUUGGGAGUAUUGCGUCGACUACUUUGCUUCUUUAUGGUGUUUAAGUCCCCAAUAUAACAAGCAACCAAUUGAUCCUAAGUCUCCGGCAACCCAUUACGAGUAAUUAGAUUGUAGAGUUCCUCCGUAUACAUGUCCACGGUCCUGUUUCCUUGUCGAAUGUGUUGAAGUUGAUAAUAUGAGAGCCGAUCCUCUAUCCCCAAAUUUACUGUCUUCCCACUUAAAUUUUGACACAUGUCCUUUUAUUUAAUUUUAGAAUUAAUUAUUGUUAAGUAAGAGAUUAGGUGUCAAAAUUUAAGUGGAGGGACACAAAGAGACAGGAAAAUUGGGGACAGAGGAUCUGCUCUCUGAUAAUAUAAGGAUCUUACAUAAUUGUGAGGCAAAAAUUCAACAAGCAAGUACAUCCUGAGCCCGUUUUCCACCCGACUCAAUCGCACUCUGUAGUUCAUCCCACAUUAAUUCAUCACCAAUGCAGCAUGUUGAACCACCUCCCUACCUAAAAGAUUAACCUAUUAGAUUGAGAUUUUACCAUACUUAUUAACCCAUCUACAUUAUUGGAUAAAUGAAUUUAUCCAAUAUGAGAUUCAUGUGAAAUAUCCGAACAUAUCUCAGGAUUCAAUUUUUGGUUUGCCUAUGUGCAUUCGAGUAGCCUUCAACUGCUGCCACCAAGCAGAGGCUCUUCAAUUCCCCGUAAACCUGUAGCAACUAAGCCAACUCUUUUAUCUUCUGGGACCACUUUGAAGUCCAAAAUUUCCUCCAUUGUAGCCAACCAAUCCAAUAGAUCCUCUGCUUGCAUUCCACCAUGAAAUUCUGGGAUAUCGAGUUUCAACCCGGCGUCCCAUCUACUUUGGUUGAUUUUGCAUCUUCCCCUUAGUGGAGUUUGUGGAGGUGGUGGUCUUCUGCUCCUUACACCAAAAUUUGCAAAAGGGAUGUAGAAAGAGAUGUCUUCUUCUGCCUCCUUGUUUUCCUCCCAAUCCUCCUCAUAAUCUUGUUGAGCAGCAAAAUUUUGACGUCUGUACGGGGACUGUGGAGACCUUAAUUGUUGCUGGAAUACUUGUCGUUGCUGAAAUCGAAGUUGUAAUUCUUCCAUCAUGCGCAUUAGUUUCACCGAAUUAAGUUUCAUGUUAUGCUAUGGCUUCUUUUAUUUGGCUACAUCGUAACGCUCAAUAACAGUUUGAAUAGGAGCAGUCCUUCGCUUGGCCAUUUUUUUUAUGGUUUGGGAAAGUAACCAGUGCUCUGAUACCAACUGACGCAACGCGAUGAUGGGAGAAUGGGUAGGUAAAAAAAUAGAAAAAAGAGGGGGGAGUCCACUAACUCUUUAUGCUUGGAAUGACCUGAAAAACCCAAGUGGUUAGCACCACUCUACAAGUUGUAGAGAACUAAGAAACUCAACAAAACAAUCUCACAAAAAGAGAAUGACACACAAGAGAAUAAUACUCUUCUUAAUUUGAUUACUUUUCAGAAUACCCCUCCCCAUUUGCUUUACAAACUCACUAUUUAUAAAGGCUUGGAACAUUCUAUCGGCCAUAGAUAUAUGAAUAACUACUAUUAAUUAGACUAGAAUAUUAAAGACUAGAUGCCUUUAGAAUACUAGUUAAUCAUACAAGUAUCUUCCAAAAUACUAAAAUUAAAUAAGUGAAUAUAUCUUCCAAGAUAUCCAAAUUAAAUUAAACUUUGGAGUGAAUGAACCUUGUUUAAUAGGUGUCCACACCAUCUAUACAAGAACUUGUGAUCAGAAGCUAGGUUUUUUAUACAAAGAAAACCUAGAGCUUAUCUUACUUCUUGGUAGAAAUGUAAUUACAACAGUAUAUAUAUAGGGCCACAUGCUAUUUACUUUUAUUGGAUCAUUCAUUCAUGCUCAAACCUGUGUAAUAGAGAAUUGUUGAACUGAGAAUUUAAAGGCUAUAUCUCAUUCGCUGUUUGUGACAGGAGAAGGCAAUGCAAGAGGAAAAUGUCAAGGUAAUUAAGUUUGCUAGUCUUGCAUGUUUUUGGUUUGUAUAAUGUUGAAGAAAAAGUAACCUUCAUGUUUUCUAUGUAUAUAAGUUCUUAAGUGCAAUAAAACAAAAUAAUAAUAAUAAUUUGUUUAUUUACUAAUUAAUUUUUCUAUUUGGUUCUUGUCAAUCUCGUGGCCUUUCAUUAACCUGUAAUUAGUAGGACUUUCACAUCUUCUUAUUCAACAUGUCAAAAGAAUUUUGUGAAUCUUUCUGAAAGAUACAUCGAUCCUUGUAUAUUGGCACGUAAUAAGGUAAGUAUUUUCAUUAUGUUAUUUGCAAAUAUCUAGAUAAAGGAAAAGGAGAAGACAAUGGCACAGCAGGCUCAGUGGGAGAAGCAAAACCCUGCCCCUAACUUAUCUCCAUUCCUCUUACCUCAAGAUCUUCCCUGUAUAAACACUGGGUAAUCCUCGCAUGCACUUUUAAACCUCAAUCUUAGCUAUAAAUCUCAGUCACCAUGCAAUAAAGGAGAAAUUUAUAUCCCAAUUACUAUUUUAUGGUAAAAUCAUGAUAUGAUUGAAUAUUGAUUGAUAGGCAGGUGAAGCUUCAAGUACUAGAUAUAUACAUUAACUGUUGUAUCAUGUGAUAUAUAUAUAUAUAUAUGCAGUGGCACUUACCAUGGAGAAACAUCAAAUCAAGGGAUGAGGAGGAACGAGCUCGACCUCACUCUUGAACCUAUGCGUGAUGUGUGUAUAUGGUAAUAUUAAUUAUGUGAUUCGGGUAAGAGACAAUAUAUAUAUAUAUAUAUACCCAUCUUAUAUAUUCUUAAUCUCUUGUUAAACAAACCACGCAUAUGUCGAUGAAAAUUCAUUGCCAAUUUGAAUUUGAGUGAUCUACUAGAUCUAUAUGAAUGUGUAACCUCCUCAGGAAAUGUUGUGUUGCUAUCUAAUUUCCUUGAGCUAAGCUGGAGGGCUGACUCUAAGAUAUAUGGAGGAAAAUGAACCUUCCCCUCCUCUAGUACUGGUCUGCUUGUAAUGUUAUUGUUAUGUAUAAUUAAUUAUUUCUUAAUUAACUAGACGUCCCAUGUACAACUGAUUCUUGCGUGUUCUUUGUCAAGUCUUUGUAAGCUAAGCUAACCCCAAUGUAGAAAUUCAUCAGAAAUUUUGCCUUAAAGAAGCUAAUCAAGUCCAGUUAAUGCUGGAUCAAAUGGGCAAGUAAAGAGUAUAGCUAAAAGGUUGGAGUAAUAUUGAUUGUGCAAAGAAAGUAUUUUUCAGAAAAUAUCUAAUGUUGCCCGCAUUUGGUCCUCAUUCCUUAGUUCGAAUGGAGUACUGAAAUGGAAUGAAAAUAUAAUGGGAUGAAAUGAGUUCUCUUGGUUGGUUCAAUCCUUUAGAAUUGGAAUAAAUAUUCAUUAUUAGGAAACGGUUAAAAAAAUUUGAUUAAUUAAAUUUUAGAUAGAGAAAGUAAAAUUAAGUGAAAGACAAUUAAUAAUUCUAGAGAGAAAGUGAUCGAAAAAAAACCUAGAGACAACAAGUAAAAAAAUUUUAGUGUGAGAAAAUAAAAUUUUAAAUAUAUAUUUAUAAGACAAUAUGGUUACAAAUAUAUUGAGUUAGGAUAAUGGAAUCACUAAACUCACCUAUCUAAGAGGGAAUCAAUUGGUAAAAAUGGAAUGGAUAAUAGAAUGGACAUUCCAUUCCUAUCGAUCAAACAAAUUGACCAAAAGUCAUUCCUUCACAAAAUGAAAUUGAUUUGUAUUUAGAGAUUUGCAUUUAAUUAAUUUUUUUAUUUUAAUAUGACUUAAUUUUUCAUCAUUAAUUUUUGAUUUUAUGUUAAAAUAUAGGUUCAAACUUCUAUUUACUUCUAAAAAGCUAGUUAUCUGAAAAUGUAAGAGGAACUCCAAACCCAUAUCAACUCCACAUUCAUAUCUGUUAGUCAAAAAGGUCCUCACCCACCCACCCACUCCACUAUCAAUUGUUUUUCCUUCACCAACUCCACUCCACCACCCUUGUGUUUUUUUAUUCCCACCCACUCCACCUUGUCUGCCAAUUUUUUAAAUUGUUUGCCCAACUCAUUAUUACUCUCCUCCUUCAUUCUGCUAUAAAAAGGGCAACAAAUGGAAGAAGAAAAUACACCAUCAGAAAUCAUAUACUCUCAUCCGAGAGAGUUUAAGGAGAGAAAGAAAAGCUUUUGUGAAGCUUUAGAAAAUAGAGAGAGAAAGAUAGUUCAAAUAGAAAGGUGUUUUAUUUGGGUUCCAUCACAUAGUUAUUGUGGUGAAGUAAUUUGAGUUUGUACUUAAAUUAAGAUAUCUUUGUAUUCUCUCAUAUUAUUCUAGUUAAUUUUUCGGAGAUCUUCCCGUGGUUUUUACCUCUUAGUUUUAGAGGGUUUUCCACGUAAAAUUCUUGGUGUCUCGUGGUUUGAUAUUUUCUACUUAUUAUUUCCUGCAGUGGUUAUUAUUUUGGUGGAGUUGCAGUUUUAUUCUGUUUGGCUUAUACUGAUAUUAUUAUCCGUCUAAUUUAUCAAAGACAACAGUAAUUGGGUGGUUUUUUUCCCAACAACUAGUAUCAAAGCUAAGGUUAUUUGCUCGGUUGUUUUUUUGAUAAAUUUUAUGGAGGAUAUCCUUUAUUGCAAGGAUUUAUAUGAUCCGUUGGAGCUCGAGGGAAAGAAGCCAGCGGAUAAGUCUGAGGUUGAUUGGAAUAAAAUGAACAGGAAGACUAUUGGUCACAUCCGGCAGUAGAUUGAUCAAAGUGUAUUCCACCAUGUUUCGCAGGAGACGGAUGCUCACACUUUAUGGACAACACUAGAGUCUAUGUACGAGAAGAAGAAUGCACAAAAUAAAACUUUUGUCAUUCGGAAAAUUGUGAAUCUAAAGUACAAGGACGGGAGCAGUGUAUCGGAGCAUAUGAGUGAGUUCCAAGGUUUGGUGAACCAGCUGUCUACCAUGAAGUUGAAUCUUGAUGAUGAGAUUCAGGCUCUUUUGCUUCUCAGUUCGUUGCCAAACAGCUGGGAGACUUUGGUGGUGUCUCUAAGUAAUUCAGCUCCAGAAGGAAAAAUGACUAUGCAGAUGGUCAAGGACAGUCUUCAUAAUAAGGAGACAAGGGCAAGGCGUAAAUUUUGAGACUCAUGCUCUUGACACAGAGACCAGGGGCAGAAGCAAUUUUAGAGGAUCUCACAAAGGAGAUACAAGUCGCAGCAAAAGCAAAAACUACAGGAGCAAGUCAAAGACCAGACAAGGUGAAAUGUAUAGAUGCUUCCAUUGUAAUAAGGAAGGUUAUUACAAGAGAAAUUGCAGAAUCUGGUUAGACAAACAAAAAAAUGGUGAACAGGGAAAGGUUGAGGAGAAGAACACUGCAGCCACAGUCACCGAAGAUGUUGUGAUUCUUUCAUUUGGGGAAGAAGAAUGCUUGCAUGUUGAUGAUCAGAAAGUUGAUUGGGUGGUUGAUACUGGUGCCUCGUAUCAUGCUACACCUAAGAGAGAAUUUUUCACAACUUACAAAGCUGGAGACUUUGGGUACGUGAGAAUGGGAAAUACUGAUCAGUCCAAGAUUAUUGGAAUUGGUGAUGUUUGCAUUCAGACAGGUGUUGGUUGCACUGUUACCUUGAGGGAUGUUAGACACGUUCCAGAUUUGCGUCUCAACUUGAUUUCUGGCAUGGCCUUGGACAGAGAAGGCUAUGAGAAUCACUUUGGCAGUGGAAAGUGGAAGCUUACCAAGGGCUCUAUGGUGAUUGCAAGAGGCGUUGCUUGUUGUUCGUUGUACAAGACUCAUGUGAAGAUGUGUUCUAGUGAAUUGAAUGCAGUUGAGGAUGACUCUUCACCAAACUUGUGGCAUAAGAGGCUUGGCCACAUGAGUGAGAAAGGGUUGCAGUUAUUAGCAAAAAGGUCACUCAUUCCUUCUGCUAAAGGUACUGUUUUAAGCCCUUGUGAUUAUUGUUUGUUUGGGAAACAACAUAGAGUCUCUUUUAGUAGUUCAGCUAAAAGAAAAUCAGAACUACUAGAGAGAGUAUAUUCCGAUGUAUGUGGACCCAUUGAGGUUGAGUCUUUGGGUGGAAAUAGGUACUUCGUUACCUUUAUUGAUGAUGCUUCGCGGAAGGUGUGGGUAUUUUUGUUGAGAACAAAAGACCAGGUAUUCCAGCAUUUUCAGAGUCUUCAUGCUAUGGUUGAAAGGGAGACUGGAAAAUCAUUGAAGUGUCUUCGUAGCGACAACGGAGGGGAAUACACUUCAAAGGAGUUUGUUGAAUAUUGCAGUAAGCAUGGCAUUCGGCAUGAGCAGACUGUUCCUGGUACCCCACAGCAUAAUGGUGUGGCUGAGAGAAUGAACCGCACUAUUAUUGAGAGAGUGCGAUGCAUGUUGAGAAUGGCUAAGCUGCCUAAGUCAUUCUGGGGUGAAGCUGUUCGUACUGCUUGUUACCUGAUUAAUAGAUCUCCAUCAGCACCGUUGGAUUUUCAGAUUCCAGAAAAGAUUUGGAGUGGUAAGGAUUUGUCUUAUUCUUAUUUGAGGGUAUUUGGGUGCAAGGCUUUUGCACAUAUCCCCAAGGAACAAAGAUCGAAACUUGAUGACAAAUCUACUCCAUGUGUAUUUGUUGGCUAUGGAGAUGCAGAGUUUGGAUACCGGUUAUGGGAUCCAGUGCAGAGAAAAUUAUUCAGGAGCAGAGAUGUGGUGUUUCAUGAGCACCAGAAUUAUGAGCAUUCUGAUAAUGCUACACAGCCCAGAGAUAAUAGAGUUCCAGACCUCAGCGAAGUUCCUCCUCCAGUACAGAAUGCCACAGUUGGAGAAGGAGGUCAGAAUGAAGAUAUGACUAAUACAGACUUGCACGAUGGUGAUGGGUUAGAUGCAGAGAGUGUUGAUCAGGGGGAGCAACCUGAUAUUGAAGAACCUCAGCUAAGAAGAUCCACUAGAGAACGUGUGACAUCAAUCAGAUAUCCUUCAUCUGAAUAUCUUUUAGUUGCUGAGGAGGGGGAGCCAGAGGAUUUUCAGGAAGUCAAGACUCAUAAGGAGAAGGGCAAUUGGCUGAGAGCUAUGCAAGAUGAGAUGGAUUCUUUGCACAAGAAUCACACCUAUGAGUUGACUACACUUCCGAAGGGCAAGAAAACAUUGAAGAACAAAUGGGUGUUUAAGCUUAAGAAGGAUGGCGAUAAACUAGUGAAGUACAAGGCUCGAUUAGUCAUCAAGGAUUUUGCUCAAAAGCAAGGUAUCGACUUCGAUGAGAUUUUUUCUCCAGUUGUGAAGAUGACUUCUAUUCGAGUAGUGCUGGGGUUAGUAGCUAGUAUGGAUCUUGAGCUUGAGCAGUUGGAUGUGAAGACUGCUUUUCUUCAUGGUGAUUUGAAGGAAGAAAUCUACAUGGAACAGCCAGAGGGAUUUGAAGUUAAAGGGAAAGAGCACUUGGUUUGCAAGUUGAAGAAAAGUUUGUACGGCCUAAAACAAGCUCCAAGGCAGUGGUGAAAUUUGAUUCAUUUAUGGUGGAUCAAGGUUAUAGUAGAACAAUUGCAGAUCACUGUGUGUAUGUCAAGAGGUUCCUAGAUGGUAACUUCGUUAUUCUGUUGCUAUAUGUAGAUGAUAUGUUGAUAGUUGGGCAGGAUGCAGAUAUGAUUCGCAGGCUCAAGGGUGAGUUGUUCAAGUCCUUUGAUAUGAAGGACUUAGGUUCAGCUAAACAAAUUUUGGGUAUGAAGAUUGUUCGUGACAAGAAAGCCAAGAGGUUGUGGUUGUCACAAGAGAAGUACGUUGAGCGGGUGCUUGCAAGAUUCAACAUGAGUGAUGUUAAACCAGUUAGCACACCACUGGCUAGUCAUAUUAAGUUGACAAAGUGCAUGUGUCCUUCUACCAAGGAAGGGAGAGAUGAUAUGGCUGCAGUUCCCUACUCCUCUGCUGUAGGGAGUCUUAUGUAUGCAAUGGUUUGUACACAGCCAGAUAUUGCUCAUGCAGUCAGCGUUGUGAGCAGGUAUUUGUCAAAUCCUGGCAGAGAACAUUAGGAAGCAGUUAAGUGGAUUCUCAAAUACUUGAAAGCUACUUCCAGUUUAUGUUUGGUUUUUGGUAGUUUGAGUCCAGUCUUGGAGGGUUUUACAGAUGCAGACAUGGCAGGUUCUGAAGAGAAGAAGUCUACUUCGGGGUAUUUGUUUACUUUUGCAGGGGGAGCAGUAUCAUGGCAGUCCAAGUUGCAAAAGUGUGUUGCUUUGUCUACAACUGAGUCAGAAUACAUCGCUGCUACUGAAGCAGGCAAGGAGAUGUUGUGGUUAAAACGGUUUCUCCAAGAGUUGGGUUUAAAACAAGAUGAGUACGUGGUUUAUUGUGAUAGUCAGAGUGCAAUUGACUUGACCAAGAAUGCCACGUAUCAUAAUCGGACCAAGCAUAUUGAUGUUCGUUAUCACUGGCUUCGAGAAGUGAUGGAAAAGGAAUUGAUGAAAGUGAAGAAAGUUCAUACUGACGAGAAUCCCUCAGACAUGUUAACAAAAGUUGUUACUCGUGACAAGCUGGAAUUUUGCAAGGAAUUGGUCGGGAUGGACUCCAAGUGACGGGGUCAUGGAGAUUACCUCCUCUAAUGGGUUCGGAGGGGGAGAUUGUUAGUCAAAAAGGUCCUCACCCACCCACUCCACUACCAAUUGUUUUUCCUUCACCAACUCCACUCCACCACCCUUGUGUUUUUUUAUUCCCACCCACUCCACCUUGUCUGCCAAUUUUUUGAAUUGUUUGCCCAACUCAUUAUUACCCUCCUCCUUCAUUCUGCUAUAAAAGGGGCAACAAAUGGAAGAAGAAAAUACACCAUCAGAAAUCAUAUACUCUCAUCCGAGAGACUUUAAGGAGAGAAAGAAAAGCUUUUGUGAAGCUUUAGAAAAUAGAGAGAGAAAGAUAGUUCAAAUAGAAAGGUGUUUUAUUUGGGUUCCAUCACAUAGUUAUUGUGGUGAAGUAAUUUGAGUUUGUACUCAAAUUAAGAUAUCUUUGUAUUCUCUCAUAUUAUUCUAGUGGAUUUUUCGGAGAUCGUCCCGUGGUUUUUACCUCUUAGUUUUAGAGGGUUUUCCACGUAAAAUUCUUGGUGUCUCGUGGUUUGAUAUUUUCUACUUAUUAUUUCCUGCAGUGGUUAUUAUUUUGGUGGAGUUGCAGUUUUAUUCUGUUUGGCUUAUACUGAUAUUAUUAUCCGUUUAAUUUAUCAAAGACAACAGUAAUUGGGUGGUGUUUUUCCCAACAAUAUCCUAUACUACCAAUGUGGUAUUCAUAACAUUUUAAUGCAACCUUGACAUCACUCAUCUCAGUCAAGCUAAAUUCCCUCCAUUCACAUCGCCUUUAGUUAAAUGUGUGUGGGAAAAGAAGCUUUUAUACGCAACAAAACUAAGUGAAAUCGAGUCGCCUUCAUAUGAAAAAUAAAAUAAAAUUCAAAUUAAAAUACUGUGAAAGAUGUUAUCCGAAUGAGCAAGAAAGAUCAGCCAUGGUUGCUUUGGCCUAUCCACAGAUGCCAAUCAGUGUUCAAUGAAAUUAUAUUUCUCUGUUCCCUCCCCUCCAAUUAUGUUCUGUGUCAGCUAUGCAGAACCGGAACAUGCCAUAGUCAGUUGAGUACCUGGUGACAGCCAGUUUAAGCACUUAAAAAGUAGACCUUGGGAUAAAUAAAGAGUCCGGAAAAAUAGUUUACUGGCUAAACCUCUACGGUUAUAAAAUAAGUGAAGCAAUUGCGAAAACAAAAACACAUUAUGCAAACAGAUAGAUCUGAGGAUGACACUUAAGAAGAGCAUACUGCCAUCUGGCAAUCAGGAGGAAUAUUACCAAGCACUUCAAUUAUUCAAACUCAUACCAGAAUUUGGGUAGGAACAUAAAAUAUGGUCUUGGCUAAAACACCACAUUCUCCUCCUGAAUCCAUGUUGCUAUAGAAGUGUUAGUUUUUAUUAUUGGUGAUUUUAAUAAUGACAAUAUAUUUGGAUUUGGGUUUGUGUAAUGGUCUUAUUUGAUUUAUUUAGGAUAUAUAUUUUUAAUAUUUUUAUGCAUGAAGAUAUUAUUGUUUGCAUGGAAAUAUUAUAUUUUGCAUGAAGUAAUUUUUUUUAGCAUGUUUGGUCUUAAAGGAAAAAUAUUUCAUAUAUGAUGAAGUGAUUUUAAUGAUGACAAUAUGCAUAAGUAUAUGAUUUAUUAAAUAAGAUAAAGUGAUUUUGGAAUGGGUUAAUUAAAUAAUAUAACUUAUUACUUUGUAUGAUGGCCCAUUUUAUAUUAUUUAAGUUGAUAUUAUUUGGAUUAUAUUUUGUUCAGGUUGUUAUUAUAUUAACAGAUUGUUUUAAUAUUUGAAUCGGAAUAUAUUAAGAAGUUAGUUUAGAUGAGCAUGUUAUUCUGAUUAGGAGUCUUUGUAUUAAUUGGGUUAGAACUCGUGUAGAGUAUGGACUCUAUCUUUCAUUUUAUAUUGCUCCUUUAUUUUAGGCUGGUUUAUUAAUUUAUUUGUUGACUUACUACUUUGGAAAGAUAUUAUAAUUGUUAUCUAACAGAGUUGGCCAAGUCUUCAUAGUCGUUGCUUUUAUCCUAUAAAUAGUCUUCUUGCUUGGCUAAUUAUCUCAGAACUCUGGAAGUUAUCAUUGUUAUUUAUUCAAUAUUUCAGAGAGCUGUUUUAAGUCUGCUUCCAGUCAUUGGUCAUAUUCUUUUUGAUCUGGAAGAAACACUGUAAUACUUCGUAAUCUUUGUAAUUCCAGUGCAAGUCUGUUUUGCUUGGGUGUCAUUCUAAUAGGUAUUCUGUUCAAAGGUAGUCUCAAAGUCUUAGAGGUGAGAAAAGUUGCAGAGGUGCAAAGGGGCAAUGGUGUACAUCAAUGUGAAGCUACUUUGAACAUGGAGUUUUUUUUAUUUGUACUUAAUUAUGUAUUAAAGUUUAAUAAAAAGAGUCUCCAAUACCAUUUGGUAUUGGACGUGGAUUAGACCACUAGAGUAGAGAAUAGGGGUUGAAACACGUAAAAAUCUUGGCGUGACUUACUGUUCUUUUGUUUCUGUUAUAUGCUUUAAAUAUCUGUAGAUUUUGGUUUAAGUCGUAAAAAAAUAUAUAUUAAUACAGACAGGUAUUAGUUGUCCGUUUAUAACAGACGAAGAACAUAACUAAUACGGACAAGGUUAGACCGCCCGAUUAUAGUCUGCAAUAUUAAAUUUUAAAAAUUGACCACUGUAGAUCACUUUGGGCUUUUACACAUAUUCACCCACCUUUAGGUGUGCUUUAUUACAGAAUUUCAUUUGGUAUCAGAGCAAGGCUUUAUUAAUAUUGAUCUUUACAGGUCGUAAGGAAAGAUCCUAUGACACACCUCAAUUUUCAAGAAAGUCAAUCCACAAGCCAGCCACCUUUGUUGCUCGAAAGUAAAAAUUUCAACUUUUGGAAUUUUAGAAUGAUGAUUUAUCUCAAACGAGACCCAUGGGAAUGGUGGGUCAUUGAAAAUGGCCCUGUUAUUCUAAGACACAUGAUGAUGAAAACCUAAGACUCUCAUGAAAAUAGAUUCAAAUGAAUCAUACAUGGUAUAUUAUGACUCCAAAUCCAUGAACAUGCUGCUAAGUUGAAUGAUUCAAGCUGAAAGUGACAAAGUUUCUUCAUGCACCACUGCAAAAGAAAUAUGGGAUACAAUCAUCAUGAGCCACGAGGAAACUACUAAGGUAAAAGAAGUCAGAUUAAGUAUGUUAAUGCAAGAAUAAGAGCUUUUCAGGUUAGAGAAGAAUGAAUCUAUCAAAGAAGCUCAAGCUAGAUUCCUCACUCUUAUGAACUCUCUAAGUAUGCUCGGCCGAAAAAUUGAUCAAAUGGAGAUAAAUAGAAAGAUACUUAGACUCAUACCCAAACGGUUCGCACCAAAAGUUAAUUACAACUCUUCAAAACUCAACUAUAAUUAGUAUGAUGGAAACUCUCACUUUUUUUUACAACGUUUUUAAAAAAAACGUUGUAGAUAUAUAUGCAAAAACGUUAUCUAUUUAAAAAAGCAUCUUUUUUGUUUUAAUUAGAUAACGUUUUUUUUUUAAAACGUUGUCUAUCAAGAAAAACAUGGAGCUAAAAAAACGCGAAAAUGAAACACGAAGCAAAAAAAAAAAGACACGGAACAAACCCACUUCAGCAUAUCCCUACCAGUUAUUCUUCUCCUAAAUCCCUAAACCCCCAUUCAGCUUCUUCAUCAAAAAUCCACUUCUCGCAAGCCGCCUCAACGGAAGGUGAGGAAAUCCGGCCUUCCGGCUUCCAUAGUUCGAUUGAAGAGGGUCGGAACUCCCGUGGGUAAGCGGAGUAGACCGAUCUAGGUUCUAAACUCGCAUGUUUUAAUUUCUUUUUGCUUUUCCCCCGUUUCUGUUUUGCUUUCAAAAAGGACUACAGAUGAAAGUUUCUCUAAUUAUGACUUAUGGAUCAAUAUGUUUUUAUUGGUGUCUCUUACUUUAGGAUUUCAAAAUAUUGUCAAUUUAAAAACUACAUUUCAAAAUUUUUUAUCCGAAAUCUUUUUUAACUAUGUUUUUAGAGAAUAAUUGUUCAAGAUGGUUCGUUGUUUCGAGAAGUACUACUGCUAUCAUUGUUAUUGUUCUCAAUUCUCACAUGGUCAGAUUUGAUGCAGGCCUCAUGGAAGUGACUGCGGUAUUGUUAAUGUAAACAUACCAACAAAUGGUGCUGAAAUUGGUGGUGAAAAGGCUACAGGGGGAGGACGUGAAGCUGGAAGUGACUCUUGGAAAUAGUACAUGAGACGUUCAACUUGGUAUCUUAAUUUUAGCUCCUUAAAUGAUGUUUGUGAUUCUUAAAUAAUAUUUAGGAUACUAACUUAUCUAGGACAAUUGAUAACUUGUCAUAAUAGUUUGAAUUUUAAACGAUUCUGGUCAGGCUUGGCCUUUUUUUGGGGUAGUUUGGAUUUUAUUUUUUCCUUUACCUUUUUCUUUGGUGUUGAGUGAGGUUCAAAUUUGGUUACCCAUUUUCCCUUAUUUAAUUAUCAUUUAGUCUAGCGUAGGACUUAACGAAGUAUCUCAUUUCCCUCGCAGUACAAUAAAUUAUGAGAAUGAAUUACCACUGGCUCAAGGGAUCAACUUCGGCUAGUAGAUUUUCCUUUUGUUGAGGUAUUUUAGUAUUUGUCAGCAACACAUACUUGCUUAAGCUGCUUUCUUCUGAUUUAUACCUUGUUGCCUCAUUUGCAGGGAUAUGCUGAAAUCAAAAUUCAUACUAAAUUUGUGGGAGGAGUUUGUACUGAUGAUGUUUGUUCCCAGAAAAAUUAAAAUAACAAGUUCCAUAGUUACUCCCACCCAGGAAUAAUUUGUUCUUUAUUGUCUUUUAUGGGUUGCAGUUUAAUUUAUUGAAAGAUUCAGUCUAUUCCUGUAACUCUCGUGUUGUGUCAAUGAAGUUAACUCUGGAACAUAGAGGACUUGUUCUGCUGCUACUGAAUUGGGAAGGAAAUCACACUUUCAGGGCCAUUACCUUUUUUUACUUGUUAACUAGUAUGUUAUUUUCUUCUAAUCCUUCGCCAUAUAUCUCCGUUGUUGGGAGCCAAAAUAUACUAGAAAGCUGCAGAGUUGCAAUUAUGAACAUGUCUUCUUUCUAGCAGGUAAUAUGUAUCUGAUAAACUACAAAAUGAAGGCUCCAAAAUAGACUUUAUUUUAUUUUUCUUUCUGAGUAUGCUAUUCUCGUCCUAGUGUUUGUUUCCUUCUACCACCUGUUCUUGGGUGUUGGGUGUUUGUUUAGAGAAAUAUUAAGAAUCUGAAUAAAUAUGAUGGCGCUAAUACAGGAAAUGGAACGACUCGGGGAGGAUAUGACAUCAGCCUGUGAACGACUUGGGGAGGAUACAGAAAUACCAUUUUUGUGACUGCGGCCUGUGAACGGGGAGGAUAUGACAUCAGUUGCAGAUACUGCUAGAGACAUGGCAACUUCUAAAGGUGGCCUUGAGUAGGGGAGGUCAGUAUUUAGUCACUGAAAUUCCGUCUGUCUGCCUGUCUCUCUCCCUCCCUCUUCCUCCCCUGAUAUAUAUUUGAAGUUCAGUUUUAGGACUGUCAUAAAACGAAAGGGAAUAACAAGUAGAGUGGGACAAAAUACUAUUUUGAAUGCUUUGAUCUCAAAUUAAGUAAUCUGAAACCAAAGCAAUGGUUCCUUCUAAUGUACUGCAGUUCCGCUGCUAAUAAUAUAUGUUGCUCAAAAUAUAUUCUUGUAACUGGUUCACUGUAAUUAUCCUUUUGAAGGUUUAUAGACAUCUAGUUUCUUGAGCUUCAAGUUAUAUAUACUUUUUUCCUGCUACUAUGUUUGGUCUCAUACGAAUUAUAAUUGUGGCUAGUUUACUUUUAGAGUUACUUUUUUGUUGUUGCUCAGUAUUCUGAUUUGCUUAUUUUUCUGCAUCGUAAUCAGUUCAAUUCAAUUGUUAUAGAACGUCUUGCUUUUCUUGGCUCUCUGAUCACAAGUUCUUCUAACAGAAUCAUUUCUUUUUCUUUUCAAUAUAGUGGGAGAAAGAUCCGGCGGUUUAUUCCCAUGAACAAGAUUUUGAAACCUGUGCUGAAUGAAUGUGUGACCCCUGUUACUUGUUAUUGCAGCUUAUCUUUAAUUGUACGAGGCGAAAAGGAACUUGCAUUAGUUUUCAAGGUAAAUCAUUUUAUUUAGUGGGCUCAUGCUAAAUCUGUUUAAUUAUUGCAAGUAAGCAUGAAAUAGGCAAGGACUACUUGUAAGGGAUGCAGGAACUUUAUUAAUUUUCAAGGGCGGUCACUAUUAUAUAUACAUAUAAAUAUAUGCCCGCUUUUGUUAAUAGAAAGAAAUAAAUCCAAAUUCAAGGUUGGGCAAGUGACCCCCCUUGUCCCUUGCUAGAUCCGCAGUACCUGAACUAGUUGAGCAAGUAAUCUCCUUAGUAUUUUAUUAAGAGAAAAAAACCACAUUUUGCUCAUGUUACUUUGGAUUUUAUUCUCUUUAUUGCUUUAAUUCAGCAGCAGGGACUGAGGCAACAACAGCAACAAUUGUUGCAGUCUAUGCCACCAGUGCAGCGAGCCCAUUUGUAGCAGCAACAACAGCUGUAGUUGAGACAACGGCUUCAACAACAGGGUGUGCAUCCUGCAUGUGGGGUGAAGCGCCCCAAUGGUAGUUGUUGAUUAUUGUGGAAAGCUUUUACGUGUCUUAUUACACUCAUAUAGUUUGGUUUAUUUUGUGGUUUAUUUUGUGGAUUGAAAAGUGAAUUUGAGAUGUAUAUAUAGAUAGUUUGGUAUAUAUUUUGUGGAUGUAGUAAUUUGAAACUGUAAACAAAUGGUAUUAUUGGGAUGUAUUUUGAAUGGUUGAUACAUUUUGGCUAUAUAUCAUGCCAUUUAGCAUAUUGCAGGUGCAUUGGUAAUAUAGGUGAACAACAUUCUUUUUUUUUUCUUUUUUUUAUCUACAACAUUUAAAAAACGUUGUCUGUUAUACUAAACAACAAUUUUUUUUUAUUCUACAACAUUUAAAAAACGUUGUCUUAUAUACUAAACAACAACAUUUUUAACCAAAAAACGUUAUUGAAUACCUUCUACAACGUUUUUAAGCAUCUGCUAAUUUUUUAAAAACAAAUCUACAACGUUUUUUGUGUAUUGUGCUUAACUACAACGUUUUAAAAAUGUUGUGUAAGGGUGUCAAAUAGACAACACCUUAACCACGACGUUUUUCUGACAGAAACCACAACGUUUUUUCCGCGUUGUCUAUUUACUUUUUUGUAGUAGUGUGAUGAUGAAGAUUCAGAUGAAGAAAUAACUAUGAUGUCUCAGAAAUUGAGAGAGCUGAUUAGAAAGAAGAAUAAAUCAAAGUUCCAAGGCAAGACAUUCAACAACAAGAACGACGCCAACCAAAAGCCACAAGAAGAUACCUAUUUUGAAUGUGGAAAGCCCAAACAUUUCAAGAGAGUCUGUUUCCAAUUAAAAAGGAAGAACAAAGCAAUCAAUUCAAAAAGAAAGGCGUUAAUGACAUGGAGCAAUGAUGAGUUCAAUCAUGAAGAGCAAGAAGAUGAAACUGCUCAACUGUGUUUCACUGGAUUAUGCAAUCAAGAAUCAUCCGAUCGAGGUAAACUAUGAACUUAGUGAUAUUACUAUUUCUGAUUAUCUAGUUUUAAAGAAUGAAAAUAUUAGUAUUAAAGAGAAAAAUUCUCAUUUAAAAAAAAUUUGAUAAAUGAUUUAAUGAAAGAGUUAGAAACAUUAAUUGAAGAAAAAUAAGAAAUAAUUAAAGAUUGCAUAUCAAGUGAAGUAUCUAAGUUAAAUGUUAAAAUUGAUUAUCUUGAUAACUAUAAUAAAAUUCUAUAUAAUCGUGCAAACAAAUUAAAUAAAAAAUUCAAUGAACUUAAAAAGGAAAAUGAUGUUUUAAAAGAAAGUUUAAAAAUGGGAGAUACUUGUAUUGAUGCUUUUAAUGAUGGAAAAAUAUUAAACAUGCAAAAUAACAAUGAGUAAGAAAUAAUAUUAUUGAAAAGGGAUCUUGCAAAAUUUGUUCAAGGGGAAGAGAAUUUAAAUGUUAUGUUAAGGACAUAAAGGUCUACUCUUGAUAAAAAAAAGAAUUGGGUAUAAUCCUAUUAAAAAUGUGAAAAAUAGAACUAAUGAUAAUAUUAGAAUGAUUAAUACUAAAUCAAGGUUUAAACCACUUUAUUGUUCACCGUUUGUUACAGCUUGUAGAAAAUGUGGUUUAAAAUGUCAUUUUGAUUCUAAUUGUAAUAAAAUUUGUAAGACCCCAACUUUUAUGAAUAAAGAUGAAUUUUCUAUAAUUAUUAUUUUUGAAUAUUAUGGAAUGAAUUUGAUAUAAUGUUAUAAUUGUGGGAAAUAGUUAUAAAUUUUGCAAAGAACAUAAGUUAUUAUAUAAUAUUCGAUUGGUCGGGGAAUAUUCGUACGACGACACAAUCAUUGGUGGACCCCACAAUGAAAUUAUUGUCGGAUUGAGAAAACGACAAAAAUAUUUUAUGAAAAUAACGGCGGAAGUUUUAUCGUUAACUGUUGAAACACCUGGUGUUAAAAGUACAGGAAUACGCGUGGUUGCAUAGUAGCACACGGUAUUGAUUAUUGAUGCUUACGUGAGAAGUCACUCAGUUUUGUUCAAUUACAUACUUCAGUAAUUAUUGCAUAAUAUUUCACGUUAAUCGAUUCAAUUAUUGUCGAUAUUUUAUAUAUUAUUAAAUCAAUAAUUGAGACGACGAAGUUAUUAAUAUUAUUAUUUGCAAUAUUAACUAUGUCUAGAAGUUCUGCCAAGAAGAGGUUUGGUCACCUAAUUGCGCGCCAAUAGGGAGAAAUCCUUAUUGAAAAGCCUCUUCUUUCUUGGGAACGACCUGGUCGAUUAAUAAUGUGAAUUAUAAUAAUGAUGAUGAAGUUUUGUUUUAUUAGUAUUAUUAAUAUAAUAAAACAGAAAAGCUUUUUAUAUAAAACAGAAUACUUUUAUAAAGUUAUUCGUUUUAUUAGAUUAUAAAUAGAAUAUAUUAUAUUUUAUUUAAAAGAUUUUGUUUUAUUAAAAUAUUUUAUAGUAAACCAAUCUGGACCGUUCAGGAAUUAGUUACUAUUCAGUCCAUUCUCCUAUAAAUAGAAGCUCAUUCCUUCAUUAUUUCUUACGAAUUCACUGAAACUCUAGAGAGAGAAACUAUAAAGAAAAAGAAGGAAAGUUUUCUGCUACUUCAGUACUCAUAUAUCCAGUUUGUUCUAGGGUAAGGGGUAUUAUUUCUUUCGUAUUCAUGAAGAGAACUUUUGUUAUUCCAUUUUUUUAUUCUGUUGGAAUAACCUGUAUACGCGGUCUACCCUAUACUUGGUGAAAUUCUUCUGUUAUUCUAUUUUUUAUCAUUAUGUUGGAAUAACCUGUCUAUGCGAAGUACCGCAUACAUGGUGAAAUUCUUCUGUUAUUCCAUUCUUUAUUAUACUCAGUUGGUUAAAGUUUUGACUUCUAUACUCCAUGAAAUUAGUGGAAUAUCCUUGAUAUUUGCGCUUCAUCCAGUAUCUUUUCAUGAAAAUAUUCUUCUGAACAUUCUUGAAUUUUACUUUACAAAGAAGUAUCAUGUUGACAAUUUGGACGUUAUUAGUUCCUGGAUAAAUUAAUUCUUGAACUUGUUUUAUUGAAUUCUUAUAUCAUUGUCAUCAUCCUCAUGUUUAUAUUAUGUUGAAAGUCAUUUGUGACCUGUAGUGCAUAGAUGGACUUGGUAUGAUUAUGACCAGUGAUUAAUCGGUAUAAUCAUGAAUGUUACAAAUGAUGUGGUAAAAGUUCUCAUUGGCCCGUAGUGCAUUGAUGAACAGUUGUUGGCAUGAUCAUGACCAUUGAUGAAUACACGAAUAUCAUUGGCCCGUAGUGCAUAGAUAAUUUGUGGUUGUGAUACUAAUGAAUAUCAUUGGCCGUAGUGCAGGGAUGAUAUGGAUUAUUUAUUAAGCUGAGACCCAGCGAUAAAAGUGAUGAAAAACUUUUUAAAUCAUAAAAGAUGGUAGAUUUUAUCAUCUACUUGACUCUUUUAAUGGAUUGCUUGUUCCGCUGCAGUUAAACUUGAUGUUUGUUAUAUUGUAUCAGUUUAACAUUGUUGAAGGCUAACGAUAAUUUAUUCUGUAUUAUCUUAGUCAUAAUAUUUCUUACUGGGCUAGUUGAGCUCACCCUUUUACUUUCAUUAUUCUCUUCAGGAAAUGAGAACGUAGCAGGAACUAGUCGGGGAACGGAGUGACGGUCCAGAUAAUAGCAUUAGUAGUCCUCACUGUUCUGUUAAAUAGUGUGAUAAUAAAUAUAAUGUGACUCAAUUGAGUGUGGAUAUUGUCUAGAUGACAAUAUUUGUAUUAAAACUCACAACAUAUGUUUUGUCGUAUUUUACACGACUGUUGUAUAAUUAAGUUGUAUUUGAAUUUUUAUACCAUGUAUUUGGCGACUCAAGAUGGGUGAUGUAUACCUAUUUUGGGGGCGUCACAAAAUUAGAAUAAAAUAAAUUUGGAUAAAGAAAUGUGAUUUAUAUGCUACUAAUACAAAAGGACCCAAGAAGAUUUAGGUACCAAAAAGGUAGAAACGAUUUGUUAUUUUUUAGAUAUCUCAAGGUCAAAAUAGAGACGAAUAAUACUUUACUUUGAGAGACUACACUAAGGAGCUUAACUAUCAAGUUUAUUAUUGAUAACAGAAUGUUGAUAUAUAUAUAUAUAUAGGUAACAAAUCGCAAAUGUAUGAUUAUUUUGUUUAUUUGUUAUAUGUGAUUUUGUUAUAAGCUUGCUAAAUUGAUAUGAAUUAAUUUUUAUAGAUAACAAAUAGGGAGAGAUAUUUGGGUAAUAAUGAUUAUGUUAUAAUCAACUUGUGUUUAAUGAUUUCUUUUUGAUAAUGACAAAGGGGGAGAGAUAUUUGGUAUUUGAAUUGGUAUUCAUGUUGCUGGAAUAUGCAAUGAAUGAUAAUAUGCAAUGAUAGUUAUUUGGAUCAAGUCAUUUUUUGCUACUUAAUAUGCAUAAAUUUAGGGGAGCUAUAUAUUGUCAUCAUCAAAAAGGGGGAGAACGUUAAUUUUUAUUAUUGGUGAUUUUAAUAAUGACAACUACACUAACUUCAAAGCUUAAACUAAGAUUAGCGAAUAAAACUGAACAGGAUGCACAAUCUGGAGGAAAUUGGAAAAAUAAAAUCCAAGUGAACUGAUAGCAACUGGGUAUAAUUAGGGAGCCAAAAAGGUUUUGUCGAGAAUCUGGGUUGGAGUCCGGUCUACAGUAUUACGUACUACCACGGAAGACUAUAACUAGAGCGGAGUAGAAAUAAAUGAUCAAGCUGGCUGCUACACUAAAUGUAGUUCCUGCUGAGGCUUGAUCUCUCCGUAGAAUGUAGACAAGUUGAGGAUUUGAUAUCAGAAGGACAGGACAAAUGUGUUUGGCGUGAACAAUUAGCUUUCUUGUGUAAUUUGAAAAAGUUUCCACCCAUGAACCUGUGAAUUGUGAGGAUGAGGAAUUCUUCUACUCAUCCUUUGCUUUAUAAAAGAAUCAAAAGUCGGUCUCUUUUCUCUAAUCAUUUUCGUUACUAAAUGUAGGUGCAAUGGAGUAUAAAAUAUUCUGAUGAAAUAUAAAUAUACUAGCUGUGUCCCGUGCCUCCGGUACUACAUGGACGAUGAGAUAUGAUUUAUUUCAAAUUUUGGACGGCCCAAAUAAUUUAUUAGAGUGAGCGAAAAAUUUAAAAUUAGUUGUAUUUUGUUAGAUAGAUGUUAUAUAUAUAUAUAUAUAUAUAUAUAUAUAUAUAUAUGGUUUAAAUAUAACUUAUUUUCAAAAUAUUUAUUUUAACUUACAUACACAUCUUGUAAGUUUCAAACAUAUCAUUUUUAGUCAAAUACACAAAAACAAAUGAACCUUAAAAAAGCAUAUCAAAUUUCAGUACUUGUUGUAAUUCAUGUAAUAAAUAUUUAUCUAUUUCUCAAAAAACAUAUCACAUUUUGACCUUUAAAGUUAAUCUACUAAAUUUUAUAAUAUACAAUUGAUGUGAAAACAAUAAAGUUGUAUUUGAUAGUUCUUUUAAGAAUAAGAAGAAAAAUAAUUUAGGAUACGCACAAUUUUAUUAACUAAAAUUAAAUAAUUUCGUAUUAAUUUCAACAUCUAUUAUUUAAUAUCAUUUUGUCUAAAUAAAAAAUUAUUUAACUGAUAAAUGUGAAUAUGAUAACUCAACCUUCUAUUUUUUUAUUUUUUAUUUUUUCAAAAAUUUAUGAGUUGGCUUGCUAUUAGUAAAAAAUUAGUAUAUCUGAUUCUAAAUCAUAGUUUUAAUAUGAAAUUCAUAUUAUCUUUUAUUGGUUUUAAUUAUUGUUGAUUCAUACUUUGAUUAUUGGUUAUAAGCCUUCAUGUUUAAGACUCAAAAUUUGAGAACCUAACAUAUUAUUCUUAUUUUAUAGAUAUAGAUUUUUGUCCAAGCAAAAAGUAAAUUAAUAAGAAAAGCUUAAAAAAAAAAGCGGCAAAUAUCUCUCCCAAAAACCACCGAAGGUAAUCUAGUCUAAUGGACCGAAACCCAACUCUCAUUGGGGUUUAAGACAAUGUAAGCUAAGAAGCAGAACAGAAGCUGGGCCUAGGAAGAGUGACCCAAUAGAACUUAACGAGGGCCAGGAUCCGUCUCUCAGCCCAUAUUGUUUCUCUUUGGUAUUAAUUAAGUAAUUCCUAAAUCCUAAUUCCUAAAACCCUAAGUCCUAACUCGUCCCCUCUUCUCUCUCUGUUUCGAAACACGGGACAGACGACAAGCUAAGCUGAGCUCAGGGACUUGGUGGUGGAAGAAGGUAGAUACAAUGGUGAAGGUAUUGAACCCUUCUGCAAAUAAUGAAGAUGGCGGGAAUAAUAAGAAGAAUAAGAAAAAGAAAAAUAGUCAGUUACGUCCCGACUCCAUAGCUAUGAAGAAAGUGAAAGCUUCAAAAUCAAACCCUUUUGAAACCAUUUGGUCUCGUCGCAAAUUCGAUGUCCUAGGCAAAAAACGAAAAGGAGAAGAACGCCGUCUUGGUCUUGCUCGCUCUCUAGCUAUGCAAAAGGCAUUUAUUUUCUUAUCCCUACUCAAUUUGUUAUGCUGUCAAAUCUCUCCAGUCCACAAAGAGAGUCUAAAUUUACAAACUUUAAUGAUAUAUUUUUGUUUUUACCUCAAAUUUAUUGAAGGUUUAGUUUAGUGGUGAUGACAUGAAAAUGAAACUGUGAUCGUAAACUAGGUAACUUUGUGUAUUUUUUAUGCCAACACAGGACCUUUUUUGGAAUAAAUGUUUUUGCCAAAUGGGUGUUUUUUGUGGAAGGAGUAAUAUAUAAUAAGAAUAAUAAUUUCAAACACAUGAAAACAAACUCUGAAAUGUGAUUCAUUGGAUUGAAUUGCAGAGAACAAAAACGCUACUGAAGGAUUAUGAGCAGAGUGGAAAGUCGUCAGUAUUUGUGGAUAAGAGAAUUGGAGAGCAAACUGAGGGUCUCCCUGGGUUUGAUAAGGCCAUUUUGAGGUCCCAACGUGAACGUCAGGUAAGUAUUUUGCAAAUGAUUUGGUCUAUUUGAUAACAAGCUCAGAUUAUUAUUUUGUUUGGUUCCUGAGAAAAUUUAACAACCUCAACCAAGUAAAAUGAAAGUUCAAUAUCUUGAUAGCUUAUUUUAUUUUUCUAUUUUCAUUUUGAUAGUUGAAACUUAACAAGAAAAGCAAGUAUAAUUUGUCAGAUGGGGAAGAAGAUGAAUUAGAUAUUCCAGGUGUUGGCUCAUUUUCUGAUAAGGAUGACUUUGAGGAUGAAGUACCAUUUGACGAUGAUGAAGAUGGAGAAUUUACUGAAACUGGAAGUAUGUCUGCAUUUCUUAUUAUUUUGCCUUAUCCAAUGCUUCUAGAUUCAAAACG